AGAUCUGUGAUUUUCCUUAAGGAAAACCAAAGUGUGAGUGGUGCCUGGGCACCCAUGCAGACCUGAUGCCCCUCCACAGACAUCUGAAAGCAACACCACAUUGUCACCAGCGCUGAGGAGAUGAUCCACAGAAAAGGAAUGUCCCUUACACAUUGAAAAUGCAUCCCUAUACCAACUGCCUGCAAGUCCUUCCACAGCCAUCCAGCAUCUUGGCAUCCACUUCGGCUUCCUCUGAGGGUUCCUCCCUGCAUCUCCAGCCAGGCCUGAGGGACAGGAUUUCAGACUCCUUGCUGCUGACUUUUAGCCACCUGCAGCCCUUGAUUCUGCCUCUUGCCCUUCAGAUGCCUCUUGCCCUUCAGGUUCCACCCACCUCCUUUCCAGCUGUAACUCAACAUUUGUCACCUCAACCAGAUAUUAAGCUAUUUAAAAGGUAUUUUCCUACAACAGCCUUAUGGAGCUGUAAUUCACAUACUGUAGAUUUCACCCAUUUAGUGUACAGUUCAGUGGGUUUUAGUGUAUUCACAGAAUUGUACAACCAUCACCACAAUCUAAUUUUAGAACUUUCUUUUCAUCACAACAAGAAGUCUCACAACCAUUAGUAUUUAUUCCUUAUUUGUCCCUAUCCCCCUAGCCUUAGGCAACCUAUAAUCUCUUUUUUUGUCUCUGUAGAUUUGCCUAUUCUGGACAUUUGCUGUAAAAGGAAUCAUGGAAUAUAUGAUUUGUUGUGAAUGGGGUUCUUUACAAGGUUCAUUUAUGUUGCAGCAUGUAUCAAUACUUAAUAUCUUUAUUGUUAUAGAAUAUUCCAUUUAUAGAUUUACAGUGUAUUAUUUACCCAUUCAUCAGUUGGUAGACAUUUGGAUUGCUUUCAUUUUUUGGCUUUAAUGAAUGAUACUGCUAUGAACAUUUGUGUACAAGUUUUUGUGUGCACCUAUGUUUUCAUUUCUCUUAGGUAUAUACCUAGGAGUGGAGUAUACCUAGGAGUGCUGGGUUGUGUGAUAACUCUUAUAUUUGUCUUUUUGAGGAACUGCCUGACUAUUCACCACAAAGGCUGCUCAAUUUUAUAUUCCUUUCUGCAUUGUGUAAGAGUUCCAAUUUCUCUACAUCAUCACCAACACUUUUUAUUAUCUUUUUGAUGAUAGCCAUCUUAGUGGGUGUGAAGUGGUAUCUCCCUGUGGUUUCUAAGCCCUCUUUUUAAGUCCAAAGUGUGGGAAGAAUACCCCAUAACUGCUUUCUUAGGUCGUGGAGAUGAGGCACUCACAGCAAAGCUCUCUCCAAAGAAAAUGUAUGUGAAGAUCAUUCUCUAACUUCUAGCCUAUGGAACCUUCCAUCUCUGAGAUGGCAAGGAAUUUAGGACUCAUUACCCUUGGUUUCCCCUACUUCCUUUCCUGCAAGUUAUGGAUGGUGGGGUCUGCCCUUUCACUUUGAUAUACCUGGUCUAGAGUCUUCAGGCUUCAGCUGAAAUGUCCAUUUAACAUCAUGUUACAAAUAAACUAUCUUUAACAACACAGAUCUUUCAUUUAUAAUAUAUCCACUUCUCCCCCAUUCAGGCACAGACCUCUUCAGAUUUCAUUUGAAGUGUUUUCCUCUUUAAAAUUAACUACAUUUGACGCAACUGGCUCCUUUGAAGGAAAAAAAACACAGACUGUUGCACAUAGUCAUGAAUCACAAAUGAGGGUGUUUAUAUAUUCAAUGAGAAAUUAUUUUUGCUGGCAAAUGGUUGUGUUUUUUUCCAGUCCCCUUAAAUCCUUACCUUUUUAAAAAAAUGGAUUUGAGCUGGCUAACCAAAAUACAUAUGAUACAACAGAAUAAAAACAAUAGAGAAGAAAUCAGGCAAAGGGAAAGAAAGGAUAGAAAAAUGAAAACACAACUAAGGAAUAAGUAACAUUUGCAAAUGCUAGACAUAGGCACAGUUGUCAGAGGUGGUCACAGAUGUAUCUGAAUUCCCUAAUUGUUUAAACAAAGAGAAGAACACAAUCAGUUUCACAAUUUUACAUAUUUAUAUGACGUAAAGAAUGUAGUUGCUUAGGACAACCAUACAUUUUCCUAAGAGAAAUAAUGUCUCCUGUGUUCUUAUAGUAAGCAUAUUGUGGACUGAAACACAAUAUGCCCAAAUAAAUAACGCUUAGCCUGAUGCUCUUUCUUUGGAUAUUUCUCAAUGCAAACAGGUGGUAUAAGGCUAAAGGUGAUUUUAUUAAAAUUCAUUAUAGAAAAUCUUUAUAUAGAAAUAUGUUAAUUGGUAAUCUUGCUUUAGACUGUCUAAUCUUGUGUAUUUUAUGACAUUGUACUUACAACAUUGCAUAUUUUCACAAUAGUCUUCACAGUCACAUAGACACACUCUAAGUUUGUUGAUAAAUAUUUCUACUUUUAGUAACAGUUUUACCUGAUAUGAAACAUGAGAUCUACUUCCGUUGGUGAUUUACCCAUUGGAUACAUGUGAGUGUUUAUGUAUAUUCUUGCAACUUCCCUUCUAAGAUAGUUCACAUAUGAAUUUUCAACUUAAAAAAUGAAUUUUUUUUUACCAAAAGUUGUGGAUUGAUGGUCAGGAUAAAAUUAUAUACAUGGGAUGCCAUUCUUUGACCUUCUCUACAUCUUAUAGGAGAUUGAAAGAUUCUUCCUUGCUUUUUGUUUUUCUUCUUUUCCCCAAAAAUGCUGCUUUUGGGUAUAAAAAAAGAGUUAAAAUUACGAAUCUUUAAACCACAUCUGGUUUGUGUGUUCUCAGAGGCCACUUGCUGGAAAAGCAAGGCGUGAGGCGAAAAAGGAAGGAAAAUAUCAUAUAGUCCAGUUAACCAGUUCUAUAAGGAAAACGAAACUAUUCUUAGGAGUUAUAACCAUUUAAAAAUGUAGAAAGAGGUACAGGAAAAGAACAACUUUUUUUUUUCCUCUGAAGAAACCAGCAGCCCAUAGAAUUAGCUCACAAAUAGAAAUCAGAUCACUUGAAUGCACAGGAAUGCCAUGGUCAGGCCAGGAGACAGUUAUACCAUGUCCCUGGCCUCAGGAUGGUUACCGUUAGAUUGGAGUAAAAAUCAGAGGUAAUGGUUUUACUGAGGCGGAAUGAGCUAUGUGUUGGUGCAAAUUCACUGUCGGUGAAGAAGACAAAUAAAUUAUUAAAUGGGCGUAUGUGUUACUGAGGUGUAUUUCUGCUUAAUGGACACUUUUGGCUGUUCUUAGAGAUGUUUUUAUCCAAAACUACUUAAUAAGGGGAGAUUUAUAUAUAAAUACUCCCUGGUGAGAAGUACAAAUAGUUUGGUCUUUAAUAAAUCAAAAUCUGAAAAGCACUUCCUAAGUCCUCCCUCUGUGUGGUGGGGGAGAAUAAUAUAUCUUAAUUUUGAAGCAGUUCAGACAUUUUAAAAUAUAGAGUCUGGGGAAGGAGCAAACACAUCUCUAACAUGGAGGAUGCAAAAGCUCCUUAAGCCGAUUAAUUAGGGAAUUUGGCUGAUGAAAUAGUUUCACUGCUUUCAGAAACAGGUGUUUGGAAAGGCAGCUGAAGAACGAGUGUUAUGUCCACUUUGCUGAUGGCUAUAUCAUUCCCUCCCUACCUCCUAGAACAGUGUAGGCACAUGGUAGGCAUUCAGUAAACCUGUAAAAGGAAUGAGUGAGCAAGGCUAAAGAUGCUGUCCAGAAUUGCUGUAGGUGACCUAUGCUGAUGAACAGCUAGGACUACAUUGUAAUUUGCAUUGAACAUAUUUGUUGGUUAAUGGCUUCUUCCCUGGUAUUUGAGAGUUGGCUUUCCUAAACAUUUUAAAGCAUUUCCUUUCAAUCUUAUAUAUGCUAUUAUAUUGAAUUUUCCAUAAAGUUUUGUAUUAGGCUAUUCCCACGCUGCUAAUAAAGACAUACUCAAGACCAAGUAAUUUAUAAAGGAAAGAGGUUUAAUUGACUCACAGUUUAGCAUGGCUGGAGUGGCCUCAGGAAACUUACAAUCAUGGCAAAAGGGGAAGCAAACACAUCCUUCUUCACAUGGCGGCAGCAAGGAGAAGUGCAGAGUGAAGUGAGGGAAAAACCCCUUACAAAACCAUCAGAUUUCAUGAGAACGCACUCACAUGGAACACCAAGGAAGUAAUCGCCCCCAUGAUUCAGUUACCUCCCACUGGGUCCGUCCCAUGACGUGGGGAUUAUGGGAGCUACAAUUCAAGAUGAGAUUUGGGUGAAGGCACAGCCAAACCAUAUCAUCCCAUUCCUGGCCCCUCCCAAAACUCAUGUCAUCACACUUCAAGACACAAUUAUGCCUUCCCAACAGUCCCCCAAAGUCUUAACUCAUUCCAGUAUUAACUCAAAAGUCCAAGUCCAAAGUCCCAUCUGAGACAAGGCAAGUACCUUCUGCCCAUGAGCCUGUAAAAUCAAAAGCAAGUUAGUUACUUCCUAGAUACAAUAGGGGUGCAAGCAUUGGGUAAAUACACCUGUUCCAAAUGAGAGAAAUUGGCUAAAACAAAGGGGCUAUAGGCCCCAUGCAAGUCUGAAAUCCAAAUUGGUCAGUAAAAAUGUUAAAGCUCCAAAAUAAUCUCCUUUGACUCCAUGUCUCAUAUCCAGGGUGUGCUGAUGCAAGAGGUGGCUCCCACCAUCUUGCAUAGCUCUGCCCCUGUGGCUUUGCAGGGUACAGCACCCCCUCCCAGCUGCUUUCACAGCUUUCACAGCUGGCGUUGAGUGUCUGCAGCUUUUGCAGGAGCACAGUGCAAGCUGUUGGUGGAUCUACGAUUCUGGGGUCUGGAGGAUGGUGACCCUCUUCUCACAGUUCCAUUAAGCAGUGCCCCAGUGGGGACAUUUUGUUGGUGUUCCAAGCCCACAUUUCCCUUCUGCACUGCCCUAGCAGCGGUUUUCUGUGAGGGCCCCACCUCUGCAGCAGACUUCUACCUGGACAUCGGGUGUUUUCAUACAUCCUCUGAAAUCUAGGUAGAGGUUCCCAGACUUCAGUUCUUGACUUCUGUGGACUCACAUACCCAGCACCACAUGUAAUCCACCAAGGCUUGGGACUUUCAGCCUCUGAAGCAAUGGUCUGAGCUGUACGUUGGCUUCUUUUAGCCACGGCUGAAGUUUAAGCAGCUGGAACAUAAGGCACGAAGUCCCAAGGCUGCACACAGCAGGGGUCUCUGGACCCAACCCAAGAAACCAUUUUUGCCUCCUAGGCCUCCAGGCCUGUGAAGGGAGGGGCUGCUGUUAAGACCUCUGACAUGUCCUGGAGACAUUUUCCUAUUGUCCUGGUGAUUAAUAUUUGGCUCCUUGUUACUCAUGCAAAUUUCUGCAGCCAGCUUAAAUUUCUCCCUAGAAAAUAGGUUUUUAUUUUCUAUCACAUCAUCAGGCUGCAAAUUUUCCAAACUUUUGGGCUCUGCUGCUUCUUGAACACUUUGCUGCUUAGAAAUUUCUUCUGCCAGAUAACCUAAAUCAUCUGUCUCAAGUUCAAAGUUCCACAGAUCUCUGGGGCAGGGGAAAAAUGCUGCCAGUCUCUUUGCAUAGCAAGAGUGAACUUUACUCCAGUUACCAACAAGUUUCCUAUCUCCAUCUGAGACCACCUCAGGCUGGACUUCAUUGUCCAUAUUACUAUCAGCAUUUUGUUCAAGACCAUUCAACAAGUCUCUAGGAAGUUUCAGACUUUCCCACAUCUUCCUGUCUUCAGAGCCCUGCAAGUCUCUAGGAAGUUUCAAACUUCUUCACACUUUCCUAUCUUCUUCUGAGCCCUCCAAAUGGUUCUAAGCUCUGCCUGUUACCCAGUUCCAAAGUCGCUUCCACAUUUUUGGGUAUCUUCAUAGCAGCACCCCACUCUCUGUUGUAGCAAUUUACUGUAUUAAUCCAUUCUUACACUACUAAUAAAGACAUACCCAAGACUGGGUGCUUUACAAAGAAAAUAAGUUUAAUUGACUCACAGUUUUGCAUGGCUGGGGAGGCCUCAGGAAACUUACAAUCAUGUCAGAAAGAGAUGCAAACAUGCCCUUCUUCACAUCUCAGCAGAAAGGAGAAGUGCUGAGCAAAAAAGGGGGAAGCCCCUCAUAAAACCAUGAGGUCUCCUGAGAACUCACUCACUUUCACGAGAACAGCAUGAGGGUAACCGCCCCCAUGAUUCAAUUACCUCCCACCAGGUCUCUCUCAGGACACAUUGGGAUUAUGGAAACUACAAUUCAAGAUGAGAUUUUGGUAGGGACACAGCCAAACUAUAUCAAGUUUGCAGAAAAAAACCUCAAAUGAUUAUCACAAAAUAAGAAUCAGAUGAGUUUUGAAUUAAUGCGUUUCUCCAUAGUUAACUUUUUUCAAUUUAAACAUUUAGUUAUAAAUAAAUAUUUGAUUAUUUGGAAACUGUGGCUAUGAAAGUAUAUUAUUUCUCAAAAAAAGGAAUAAAAUGAAUGAAUGAGUGAUAAUCCUAGGUAGCAAAACCCUAGUGUUAGCUAAUGCUCUAUUUUUAGUCUCUUUGUAUUCAUGAACGUGCUUGAAAUAAAGUAAUUUAUUUAAGCACUUGUUUUGGAUCUCUUCUCUGUUAGGCAUUCUCUAGAUGUGAGAAAAUCAGAUAAGUUAAAAUUCAUGCUCUCAUGGACUUUAUAUUUUAGGGAGAGGAGAGAGGCAAUAAACAAAUUUUAAAAUAAUGAAAUUAUAUUAUGGCGUUAAUUAGUUACAGAGCACUGAAGUGAAAUAAAGUAGAAUGAUUAAGGAGGUGACUCAGGGUAGCAGUGCUGCAUGAAAAAGGUUCUCAGGGAAACAAGGGAGUAAACACUGCAUAUGUCUAGGAAAAAAUAUUUCAGGCAGAGGGAAGCAAAAUUCAAAAGCACCUAAUACAGGAGUGUGCUUAGGGUGUUUACAAAACAAGAGGAGGACCCUGCAUUUGGAGCAGCAGGAGCCAGUAAGGGUGAGCACAGUGGGGUCAGGAUGAUGGGGGAAGUUAUGUAGGGUCUCACAGUAGCACUCCAUCUCUGCACUGUGUUCUGUAUGAUGGAAUCCAUUGGAGAGUUUAAAGCAUAGAGAACUUGAUCAGGUUUCUACUUUUAAAAAACCCAAAUGUGGCUGCUGUGGAAGAGAGACUCUCAUGGUCAAGCUUAGCAGCAGGGAGAAAUAGCAGAAGGCUCUUUCCUCUUUCCAAAUGAGAGAGGAUGGAUGGUGGUUUGAACUGGAAUCUUGGUAGUGAGAGGGUGAGAAGUGGUUCGGUCUGUGAUCUCCAUUAGAGCCAGAGCCUUCAGAAAUUACUGCUGGAUUGGGUGUAGAGUGUGGUAGAAUGAUACUAGUCAAGAGUGAAUCCUAAGUGUUUAGCCUGAAAAGUUGGGUGAAUACUAUUUAAUGACUCAAGGAAGAUUAGAGAGGAGGAAGAUUCAGGAGCAUGAAAGCAAGACUACUUCUAGACAUGUUACCUGUUACCCUUGAGAUGCUUUUAAGACAUCCAAGGGGAGAGGUAGAGUCAGCAGCUGGAUAUUUGAGUCUGGAACACAGAGGGGAUGUUGAAGCUGGUGAUAGAAAGUUGGAUGCUGGCUAUAUAUAGAUGAUAUUUGAUGACAGAAUGCCAUAGACUGGAUGGCUUAUACACUAUGGAAAUGUAUUUCUCACAGUUCUGGAGGCUGAGAAGUCCAAGAUCAAGGCCCUGGCAGAUUUAGUGUCUGGUGAGGGCCCAGUUCCUCAUAGACAGCUUUGUUCUUAUUGUGUCCUCACAAGACAAGAGUGAGGGAUUUCUCUGUGGUCACUAAUCUGAUUCAUGAAGGCUCCACACUCAUGACCUAAUCACCUCCCAAGGGUUCCACUGCCUAAAGCCAUUGCAUUGGAGAUCAGGUCUCAACAUAUGAAUUUGCAGGGAACAUAAACAUUCGGUUUCUGGCAGUAUUUAAAGCUAUGGACUACAUGAAACCAUCUAAGACAGUGCCUUUCAAAAUAUAUCUGGUGAAUGACCUUUGUUUUUUCUAAUUUGCUGUAGACUGAUGCUUUUAAAUACAAUAAAAAUAAAUCUAAGGGAAAACAAAAUUUAAGGAAAACUGAAAUAAAUACAUACUAAAUACAAGUGCCACUUUUUUUGCUAAUAGAGUUAAUAGACAUAAAAUUAUUCUGUCAAAUUGCUGUAAAACUUUUUUUUUUUUUUUGAGAAGUAGUCUUGCUCAGUGGCCCAGGCUGGAGUGCAGUGGUGCGAUCUCGGCUCACUGCAACCUCCGCCUCCCGGGUUCAAGCAAUUCUCCUGUCUCAGCCUCCCAAGUAGCUGAGAUUACAGGCACACGCCACCACGCCCAGCUAAUUUUUGUAUUUUUAGUAGAGAUGGUUUCACCAUGUCGGCCAGGAUGGUCUCGAUCUCUUGACCUCAUGAUCCGCCCGCCUUGGCCUCCCAAAGUGCUGGGAUUAUAGGCGUGAGCCACGGCGCCCAGCCUGUAAAAGUUUCUUAACACUCACUCUGGCUUCCUGUACUUAUCUUGCUAUGGACUGAGAACAAACAAUUCACAGAGAGUGCUUGUUCAUGUUUCAUGCUGUUAGUCACACCAACCUGGGAAUGAGUGUGGAGGGAAAAGGGACCCUGAGCCACAACUUUGCCCUCAGAAAAAUGAGUAGAGAGGUGGGAAUUCAGCAGACUGUGGUUCCUAGAAUCCAGAUGAAGAUGUUUCAAGAAAAACGAGGCAAUUACAUAGUAUAUGCAAAAUAGAUCCCCAGGCAUUCACUGUAAUAAUGAAAUACCAGAGUGAAUGGAAAGAUGUUAUUUUGCUUUUACUCGUUCCUUCCCCAAGCUUUCAUGGUGGUAUGGUUCUACCAGUCUUAAGCUUUGUUUAUGCAUGGCCUAUUCUAAGAUCAUUUGGGGACAAACCUGAAUGAGGAAGUCUCCCAAAAGAGCAACAGGAUUGCCAAAGUAAAAGUUGCAUCAGGGUCCAACCUAAAAGUACAAGCCAAGUGUCUCAACUCUUAGAUUGGAUGCUGUAGGGGGUCAACCUGGCCAUUAAAGUUGUUACCACACCAACCAUUUCUGUGUAUUAGGGUUAUCCUUCUUUAUUUUCAGCAGUAGCUAUUAUUUCAGCCAACACCUAUCCAAACCAUGCCAACAAUAUUGGAAUACACUUGAUUCUCAGCAAAGGUGAUUUCUUCGGACAAAGGAAAAAAUAUCUAUGCACAAUGGUUAGUUGGUUCAAAUGCACACAUAUGGACCCAACAUAAGAUGACUACCUGAUGUAGAGCCAUAAGGGAAUCGUGGGAUCCAGGUUUUCCAUGUGUAACUCAUCCUCCCACUUAUAAAUAUUACCCCAUCUUUCUUACUUAGGCUUUUGCUUGUCUCUGCUCAUCCCUCCACCUCUGUUCCCCACCUGGGGGCAGCUGAAUUUGGACUAUUGCCCAGCUAGAUGUUAGGAUGAAGGCCCAUUCUAGUACUUUGCUUGUAAUUCUUUUUAAUUAUCCACAAAUGUCUAAACAUUUUCUGGCCCUUAACCCAGUCCCAAUCUGGCAGCUUUACCUAUUCCAGUGGUUCUCAAUCAGGAGUGAUUUUGCUCCCCAGGGAACACCUGGAAAAGUCUAGAGGAAUUUUGAUAUAACUGGGAGGGGGUGAGGUACUACUGGCAUCUUGUGGGUAGAGAGUAGGGAUGCUGUUUAACAUCCUGCAAUGCACAGAACAGCCCCUGACAACAAACAGUUAUCUGGCCCCAGAUGCCAACAGUGCCAGAGUUAAAGAACUUUGCCUUGUAUUUCAUUAUUGUGUCCUCCAUGCUAGUGUUUCUCACCACUUAAAUAUUGUAGAUGUUUUCAGGUUGAUUGUGUCCCUACCCAAAUCUCACCUUGAAUCAUAAUAAUCCCCACGUGUCAAGGGUGGGGCCAGGUGGAGAUAAUUGAAUCAUAGGGGUUUUCCCCAUACUGUUCUCCUGGUAGUGAAUAAGUCUUACAAGAUCUGAUGGUUUUGUAAAUGGGAGUUCCCCCACAUAAGCCCUCUUGCCUGACACCAUGUGUUUGCUUCUCUUUUGGCUUCUGUCAUGAUAGUGAGGCCUCCCCAGCCAUGUGGAACUAUGAGUCCCUUAAACCUCUUUCCUUUAUAAAUUACCCAGUCUCGAAUAUGUCUUUAUUAGCAGCAUGAGAACAGACUAAUACGAGGGCUAAUUUUUUUUUUUGUUUGUUUGUUUCUUUUGAUAGGGUCUCGCUCUGUCACCCAGGCUAGAGUGCAGUGAUGCAAUCAUAGCUCACUGCAGCCUCAAACUUGGGGACUCAAGUGAUAUUCCCACUUUAGCUUCCCAAGUAGCUGGGACUAUAAGCAUGUACCACUAUACUUGGCUAAUUUUUUUCUCAAACUCCUGGGCUCAAGUGAUUGUCCUUCCUUGGCCUCCUAAAGUGUUGCCAUGGCUAACAUGUCUUUAAGAUUUCAACAGUCAGCCUUGCACGGUGGCUUAUGCCUGUAAUCCCAGCACUUUAGGAGGCUGAGUUGGGCAGAUUACCUAAGGUCAGGAGUUCGAGACCAGCCUGGCCAACAUGGUGAAACCCUGUCUCUACUAAAAAUAUGAAAAUUAGCCGGAUGUGGUGGCACAUGCCUGUGGUCCCAGCUACUUGGGAGGCUGAGGCAGAAUUGCUUGAGCCCAGGAGACAGAGGUUGCAGUGAGCCGAGAUCAUGCCACUGCACUCCAGCCUGGCCAACAGAGUGAGAUUCUGUGCAGAAAAAUAAAUAAAUAAAUAAAUUCAAGAGUCCAAAUUCAACUUGUGAGUUACACUUAGAAGGAUUUAUUGACAAAUUUGUUAAAAGUGUGUAUCCUUGGCUGGGCGCGGUGGCUCAGGCCUGUAAUCCCAGCACUUUGUGAAGCCAAGGCGGGCGGAUCACGAGAUCAGGAGAUCGAGACAAUUCUGGCUAACACGGUGAAACCCCAUCUCUAUUAAAAAAUACAAAAAAUUAGCCGGGCGUGGUUGCGGGCGCCCAUAGUCCCAGCUACUCGGGAGGCUGAAGCAGGAGAAUGGCGUGAACCAAGGAGGCGGAGUUUGCAGUGAGCCGAGAUUGUGCCACUGCACUCCAGCCUGGGGGAGAGAGCGAGACUCCGUCUCAAAAAAAAAAGAAAGUGUGUAUCCUCAGUCACUGCACAGCAGUGUUGAUGCAGGAAGACAUCAGUAAUGAAAAUAGCUGAUGGGAUGUCUGAAUUGUAGAAUGGUUUCCAUGUAACGCAUUGGAUUAUAUCUGAGUGCCCUGUGGCUUGACCUACCCAGCUCACCAAAAUACCCGCCUGGGGAAACUUGCCUUGAACAGAGCCCAUAGCCCUGGGCCUUGAAGAGCCCAGGAGACUCUGCCUACAAAAAAAAUCCUCCUCAUUAGGGAGAUGACACCUUUUUCUGAGCUGUGUACUUGCAGGUAAGGGACAGGUUUUGGUGGGGACACUGGCUGGAUUCCAGGCUUACACUGCCCUCUAGGCCAGGCAUUUUUGUUUGAGGCACAACCUGCACAGACGUAUGCUUCAGCCUGGUCUGAGUAAUAUCUUUGAGAUGAGGAUUCUGUUUAGUUUUUAUUUACUGAAGAAACAUAAGAGCCUUCUUUGUAUCUAUUUUAGGUGCUUGAGUACACCAAGGAAUAAAAUAAGUAAAGAUCCCUUCCCUCAAAGAAUUUAUAUAGUGGUGCUUAUAAUUUAGUGGAGCUUGCAUUUUUAAAGUUGAUUAUGUAAAGCUAAUAAUAACUGUACAUUGUAAGUGAAAACUAAUAAAUUACUCAAGAUUUCUUCCUUAGGUGCAGAUAGUAGUGACCUGGUUUAAAUAGUACCAGUGCCUUGGGCUAGGCUUUCUUCCUCUUGCAGAAUGCUCCAGCUGUCCUCACACUGGGGAGGAGGGCAAGUGCCUUCUUGUACUGCUUGCUACAUGUGCUUCUUGUACUACUAGCUGAACUUGAGUCUUCGCUAGUAGCUUGGUUUAGUGUAAAGGGAAGCAUGUUACCCUCUAUAUGACUAGCACUUCCUGCAGCCUCACCCGCAGUUUCUAACAAGUCUCUGAUUGAACAUUUAAUCUAAAAGCUCCAUUCUGAAUUUAUGAGGUGUUUCCUGCUUUUUGUUUUAUUUUGCUUUUCUUGCCUAUGGGUACCUAAAGCCUGUGUCUUCGGCCAUGUCAGUCAAAAGGUUGCUUGUGCAUUUUUUUUCCUGUUUUGGGGGUUUUGGAUCACUAUUGGCCUAACGUCAUGAGCAGCUGCCUUACUCCAAUUUCUAUAUACCACCAUCACUAUCCCUAACCGUAGUUCUGGAGCAAAGCAUACAAGAGCACAGAAAACCAAAAAUAAAGUUUCUAAAACAGAUAGCAGUGAGAAGCUCAUGUAGGUGGACUGCAGAUCUGAAGUUCAUUGGCAGAAGUGGGACUCACACUCGGUCUACCUUUGACAUCUGGAAAGACACGAUGCACAAACCUACAUGACAUAAAUUAUUGAAUCCAGUCAUUCCUAUUCUAGGACUGUGACAGCUUUAUACCUGUUCCAUUGAAAAAGAAUGAUGAUUUUUUUUUUCAAAAAGACAUAAUGCAUCAAACACAUUUCUGUGUCCAUGUUGUGGUUCCAAGGUGCUAUGAUUUCUGACCAUUGUGUGCCUUCAGAGAUAUUUCCAUGAUGUUCAGUGAAGCUAGACUUCUGUAUAAUUGGGCUAUCAUAAUUGUUACACUAUUGAACACUUGCCUUUUGUUCCCAUAAGGCUCUAGCCCAGUGGUAAAAAUUUUUCUUUUCACUUUUUCUUUGAUCAUGGUCAGAUGGUAACUGGAAUUUGGGUUGCAUGAAAUGGACUAUUAGGGGACUGAAGGAUAUGACAUGGUGGAUAAAGUUUGAAAGGAAGGAUUCUGUAAACAUGGAGGUUUAGAUGAGAACUUAGUUGAUUUGAAGACCAGGCCAGAUUUCAGGCUGCUCAAGGGAGUCAUUUAUAGACUUACAUCUAUAAAUGGUUUUGAUUCAGAAAACCCUUGGCUAUGUUUGUUUGAAAUCUAAGGAUUUUGAUAUCUUCUCGCUGAGUUUUGACUCAUUUAUAAGAAUAGUGAAUAUUAGAGACCAUACAACUUACACACAAAUAGAAGGGAAUCACAUUCUUUUCCUGUCAUUUUGGAGGGGGAACCUUACCAUAGUCAAAGCAGGUGAAACUUAUGAUUCAUUGUUGAUUUUUAAUAACAUAUGUCAAAGGGAGGAGUGCAAGGGGCAAGAUCUGAAACAAUGGCUCACCUUAAAAAUGCAUUUGUGUUUGGUGUUUGGAGGAUUUGCUCUCAUUACUUUUGUAGCCGAUUAACAUUUGAAGUCAUGUUUGUUUUUCUCAGACUAGUAUUAAACUGGGUGCAUAAUAAUUACCCAGCAGCAGGAAUCUGGUAACAGAUUAAGAAUGGAGAAUCCAUAGAGUCAGUAUGAAUAAGGGAGACCCAAUAUCUCUCUGGAAAUACCACAGAAUGAAGUAAUAGAAAAAUCAUUUUACCUCACUAAGGAAUUAUAAGUUUCAUGGCUCCUUUUGCAAAAGUUUAAAGACCUUGAGUUUAUUUCUUGUCGAUCUUCAGAAUUUUAAUUUCUAGUGCACUGAAUUUACACAUUGCUUCACAUGGAAGUGUAUGUACUGGUGGAAACACAAAAUAGAAUGUUUAAUAAAAUUUCAGGGGGCUAGGGGAGGGAUAACAUUAGGAGAAAUAACUAACGUAGGUGACAUAUACCUACGUAACAAAACUGCAGGUUCUGCACAUGUAACCUGGAACUUAAAGUUUAAUAAUAAAAAUAAAAUAAAAUUGCAGGGAAGGGGUUAGAGGCUUUUGAAUUAAAGUCUUGGGGGAAAAAAUGGAAGGAGACAUAUGCUUAAGAUGAUCUCUAUUUUCAGUGGACAGAGCUAAGUUGGUGAGAAAGGCUGGGGGCCUGUGCUUUGUCAGGUAGUUUUCAUGGGGAGAAAAUGUCGGGUAAAAGAAACCCAGAUUGAGAAAUAGUCAACAGACCUCAGUUUCUCAAUGCAUUUUAUUUUAUUUUAUUUUAUUUUAUUUUUAUCUCAAGCCAUUGGAUUUCUCUGACCCACCAGGACCAAGGCAAGUAACAGGAGGUGAGAAUAUAGGAUUUCAAAAGCAUUAAGAGUUGUGAUUUUUUUUUGAAGUCUAGAAACAAUAUGCAUCUUGAUAUGCAAUAAAGGACUUUACAGACUUCUCAUUGAAUCAGCAGUGCAUUGUUUACUGUACUUUUUUACUUUAUUUUAGUAAAUGUAUGAAUAUUUAUAUAGACUUGUAUAAAUUCACCCCUAACUUCAGUUCCUCAAGGCUUCUUUUACAGUCACAUCUUAAAUUCAUCAACCACAAGUUAUCCUUCUAGAAGGUUCUUGGGGAACUGUAAACUGCUUCAGGGACCACUGUAUUUUCACUAUCAUUGUUCGUUUUUAUUUCAGGGGUGUGUCCAGGGAUUUGUCCUUGGUUUAAUCAAUCUUUAUUUUCAGCAAAAUGUUGACGUUAGGGCAAAGUUGUUUUUGUGGCUGUUGUGAUAAGACCUUGAACAUUUUCGCCACUGCAAUUCAAGAGGCACUUGGCUACUCUGUGGCAGGCAGACUCUGAGGAUUAUAACUCCUCUUGCAGGGAGGGCUGGAACCUCCCUAGGGAGCAGGCGGGGGCUGGACAGUCUGCCAGACACACGCUCUCUAGGACACACCUCUUUUUUUCCCCCUAUAGUGCUUGUGACUGAUGAAUUCAAUGAGCACUUCAAUUCUCCUACUUUGUUCUUUCAGCAGACCAUUUGUGUCUUUGAGAGCUUAUUUUGGCAAAUGAAUAAUCAGCUAUCCGAAUUGGCUCAAGAACGAUCAAGGCGAAUAUUUGACCUCUACUUUAGAUGAUCUACAUUUUUAAUGUUAGUAUUUGUGACUUAGCAGAGUGGUUGAUCGUAACUGGCCUUCUUUCUUCCUCGUCUGUGAGCAUACAUCAAAGGCUCCAAAAUAUGCACACAAAACAAGUUUAAAAGCCGUCAUCAUUGUGAAAAUUUCUUGUGAUUUUUAUUUUAGUUGGGAGAGAAGGAGGUGUGAACAGGAGAUGCUCAUGGCUGUUUUUUCUACAGAUCAAAUCCAUAGAUCUACAUUGUAUUGUUUUUCUCCUUUCAGAACUUUAGUAUAAAUUCAUUACUUGUCUUAUUAUUGAACAAUAUUAUUCAGACAUAGUGAAGUACUUUGAUGUAGUUCUAGUGGCUAUAUUUGUUGUUUCUUAGAAGACUUAGCUGUCUGCAGGGGAAGUAAAAAUAAUGGAAUUAAGCAAUGGGAUCAUCCCCCUUCAAAAGUCUUACAUUUAUUAGCAUACAUUCUUUUUUUUUAAGACAGAAGUCCACAAACUAUGGCAUAAUAAACAAUAAUGCUAUUCUGGAACAUGGAAAGUCCUGGACUGGUCAUCAGAUAUAGGCUCUAGCCUUGACUUCACCAGCAACUAGGCGUGGGGCCAUGGAUAACUCAUUUAACUUUCAUGACUCUCAGCAUUCUCAUCUACAAAAAAGGUUGGAUUAAUUCAAUCAGUGGUUCUCAAAUUUGAAUGUGCAACAGAAUCACUGGACCUCAUUACCAUAUUCAGUAAAGCUUGGGUGGAGAUCUGCAAAUUUGCCUGUCUAACAUGGUCCCAGGUGAUAAUGAUGCUGGUGUGGGGAGCACACUUUGAGAAUCACUGGAUUGGAUGAUUUCUCUGACUACUUCUGGUAUUAACAUUGGGUGACUUUUAUGCUCUGUAGCUAGAAUGAUCUGUUUAGAGCUUCUGAAUGCAUUGGCUGUGAUGGGUCCAAUGGGGAAGUGCUACAAGUAGAACCGAAUAAGAGCAGAAAUUUGAAUCAAUAGAGUCAUAUGGUUUUAGGAUGGCCCAAAUAUUAACAGUAUCUCUGAGUGGUCAAACCCCCCCAACCGAGAGUUGGUGUAUUGGAGUCCAGCAGCAGGGGCAUCACAUGGUGGUGGCUAGAGCAAGGUGAGCAUUUGGUUGGACUGAUGAGAUCAGUGUAAAUGAGAUCAGUGUAAAUGUAAUUAGCAAGAAUCAAUAUAUUCCAUCCAAGAACUUCUCUUAUCAAAAGAGAGGGUAGAACAGUUGAAAACAUGAAUGAGUAGGCAUGAAAGAUGGAUUUCCAAAGACCAUCUUUGGUCUUUGGUCCAAAGACACAGAGCUUUGCUCUGUGUGUGUGCGUGUGUGUAUGUGUGUGUGAUUUUCUCUCUCUCUCUGUGUCUCUCAUAUACAGAUAUAAAUUGUGUUGUCCCAUCUAUCUAAUGGGUAGGUUAGAUUAGAUCAGUGGUUCUUUAAAAAGGCAGUUUCUGCACAGCAACAAUUAUAAUGCAGUCUGCAAAUAGCUAUAUUUUGCUUGGGCAACAAAGCCGAGGAAGUCUCAGUUUGUAAUUUAACCAAAAACGGUUUUUAAAAAGCACAUCCAGUAGAAAUAUCUUUGGCCCCUUACCUUCUUUCUGCAUCAAGGUGAACACUUUUCAUUACAUCUGGAAAUAGCCAGUAAAAAAUCACUGGCCAGUACAAAUUCUUAGGCAAUAGGAACUAACCAGACGUUUUAUCAGCCAAUCAGAAUGCUGUAGAAUAACCUGAGAAAGGCUGACACUGAAGACGUUUGUGGCAAUCCAGUGCCUAGCACAGAAAAUACUUGUGUGUAUUGCAUCAACUGCUCCCAGUUCUCCAUAGCAGUGGAGGAGAAGUCAGAAAGAGAAGAGAGAGACCAACUUCUAGACUUCCCUACUGCCCUACCGGGUGGUUGCAUUAAAAGCAUCUGUUUAAUAAGAGUUCGCCAAGUUUACUUAUUGUUACUAAAUAACAUGUAAAUUGGUAUUUCCAGCGAUACUAAGAAUUUUCACAGUUCUAGGAUCAGCCUGAAAGCAGUUCAAUCUAGUUACUGAUUUAUGUGUUUCUGAAAUCUAAAAAAUUUUCCCAAGACCCUGCUCAGACUUUUAUCACUAAGUCUAGAUGGUGUUUUCAAAUAUUUUACAUAAAUAUAUUUCACUGUAAAAAUGUAAACUUUAUACAUGAUAUUUAACAAUUCCUUAUAUUAAGAGGAAGCAAAAAAGCAGCUAAGAAAAAUGUUUUAACUCUCCAUAUUUCUUUCUACCUUCAUGUAAAUGGGAAUACUUUAGUUUUAUGAUAACAGACCUGUUUUAAAAAUCUUACUUCAUCUUUAUAAGCAUUUUAGUGUUAGCUGAAAGUAAAUUACUCUCUUUCCUUUCUCCAUUUUCAUAAUCUCUUGCCGCCAUUUGGAAAUAUGUUCUCAUUAGUAAUUAUGGCACUUGCAGCCUAAAUGGUCAUGAAGUCACUAUCCGGACCAUUUUUGGGGUGUCCCCAUUGGAUGCAAGUAGUUUAAAGCCAUAUGAUUUGUUUUUACUAGCUGUGCUGUUCUUAACCAGGGAUAAUAAAGGCUUUGCAAAUCAAGUCUGCAUGGCAAAAAAGGUGUCCACAAGUGUGAAUGGCUCAUUUUUAAUGACUUGCCAACAGCCACUUGUAAAAGGUGUAAUUGAAAUUGUUAAGAGAUUAGGUUCCAGUCUGCUUUUUCCUCCUUCUCAAAAGUUUUCAUGGAUCCAGGCUAUUCUUAAGCAUUGUUUAAUACUAGAAAUAGCCUUUAUGGACUAAUAAUAAGAAAGAAAAAGGCAAAUUUUAAAAGAUUUUCCAAAUUCAAAGAAAAUAAGUUUGCCAGCCUGACUUUUGAUUAUCUGUAAAAAUCAGGGCCAAUAGUUUAAGCGGAAGAGUAAAUAUGAAGGUUUUCUAAACCAUUUUUUCUGGUGGAGAGGGUUGGAGGUGGGAAGUUCUCCUUUAUUCAGCAGCAGUGCCUACAAAAAAAAUAAAUGGUGUUUCUGUGAACCUCAAAAAGUAAAUCAGUGGGUGGAUGUAGGAAUUGGGGUAAAUGAGCAAUAGCUGCCUUGUCAUUUCAAGUUCUGUGUCUUAUUCCUAUUUCACAAUCCUUUCAUAGGAGAGAGAGAGAGAGAGUUUUCUUUAAAGGCAAGGUUUGUGGAUAAGAAAAAUUAUUGAAAUAAUGCGGGAAUAACUCAAAACCAGAGAAGCCUUUGACUCAGUUCAAAGAGGCUAGUAGGAGGAAAUUGACUAAAGCUGUACAGACUCUAAGACCUCGGCACUUACAUUCCUUUGCAUUUCUUGAAGAAUGCUUUGAAUUCUUGUUCUACUCCUAGGAGGCUCUCGGACUUCAGAUACUAAUCUCAAAGAGAGUUAUGGAGUCCGGAAGACAUCAAUUCCCUGUGACAAACAGAAAACUAAUUUACAUUCCUGCUGAAACUCUAUGUAGAUUUUAUUUUCUCAAAAAAAAAAAAAAAAAAGAUUUGUUUCCAGGUGCUUUCAAGUUGUUAUGAUAGAGCUAGAGGUGAUGCACAAAAGAAUCUCAUAUUUUCUCUGCCUUCCAGCUCUGUCAUCCAGUAGCUGCAGGAUGGCUGUGAAAUACUGAACUGCUCUUCUGUCAUUUGUAAACUGAAAAUGACUAGAAUUUCCAUGACUGUUCUUUUGAGGAUAGAAGUUGGUUACAUAUGUGGAAACGUUUUGUGCACUUGAGGUACUCCAGAAAUCUCAAAGGGCUGAAGGAUGCAGCUAAGUGGGAAGGAGGCAUAAUUCAUGCCAACGUCAAGCAGGCUCAGUCAGCCUCUCUGUAUGGCAUAUCCAUUUCCUCCCCACAGCUAGAUGAUUCCUAUUUUCCAGUUUACAGAUGAGCCUAAAUGGUUCCCUUCUCUUCCUGUGUUCUCCUGUUACAUUUUCUUUGUCUUGGCACGCGUUCACGGUGAAAUUACGAUAAAGAUGAGGGAGAUAACAGGUAGCACAAUGGAAUCGAACAGCCAAGUAGAAUUGGCAGGCAGAAAACAUAAUGACCACCAAGUCCAGGGUGUCCCAUUUUUCCAAAGAUUGGGGCCUCUCUCUUUACCAUCAGAAUAUUUUUAAAAUCACCUCAUAUGUUACUAAAAAAGAAAUAAGUAUCAAAUGCUUAAAAUACUCAAAUUUCUAAAAAUCAGAGAGAAAAAAGUACUUUAAGAAGAUAUGAUUUAAUCUUUAUAUAAUCUUAAGAUGAGAAAGGACUUUAUAAACAAGGGCAUUUUUUUUUUAUUAUUUUAGAAUCAGCAGGUACAUGUGCAGGUUUCGUAUAUGGGUCUAUUGCCUGAUGCUGAAAUUUGGGCUUCUAAUGACCCUGUGACUCAAGUAGUGACCAUAAUACCAGAUAGGAACGUUUUUAUCCAGCUCAAAGUGUCAAUAGUAUUGAGAUCAAAAUACCCUGUUGUAAAUGAAUGUUUUCUAAAGUGCCAAAUAUACAAAAACAAAGGGCUGGAUAGAUAUAUUAUGUUUCUUAUACAUAAUGGACCAUUUUGCAACAAUUAACAUGUUAAAGAAAUUCAUCUAUUUAUAUAGAAAGCUUUUCACAGCAUAUUUGUUUUAAAAAGCCACUUACAAAGCUUGUGAUUUCAUUUUUGUUUAACACGGACUUAAUAAAAUGUACCCAGAGCAAGGUGUUUAAGGGAUUGUCUCUGUCUUGCUGUGUGUGAUUGUAGGUAUUAUUUUUAUUUACUUUCAUUGUGCAAUUAACUCUAAUUGCUUCUCUAUUAAGAAAAAUAAUAAUAAAACUAAUGAUGGCAAGUUUUUGAAAAGUCAUGCUAUGGAUUUACGCUUUAGUUAUAAUUUUAGUGUCCAUUGAUUAAGAAAACAUAUGACAAGCAGCUAUUAUCAUUUUAUUAAAUCUUUAAAAUAGCAACUACACACAUUUGAAAUAUGCUAGCAUAUGUAUCUGCCAAGAGGUUAUUAUACUUUCUUGGAUUUGUUAAAAUAAUCGUGGCCACACAUAAGCCUGAGGCACAUACUAUGAGCCAUUGAUUAACCAGGAAGGUGUCUGCAAACGUGAGGCUAUAUUUUAUUUAGUAGCAGUUCAUUCCUUUGGCUUUUCCUGCUCUUGAAAUUGCAAUAAGAUUGUGUCAGAAUGCUGUGUUAAUAUAAUUCUAUCAAUGGCAAGCCACAUUUUUAAAGACUCUUUAAAAUGAAAAAGUGUAAAUAGUAUGGAAUCCACAAUUAACAUGGAAUCCAGUCCUAUUAAAUAAUUUCAUUUUAACUUUCCUCACUUUUUUUUUAUCACAACUGAACUGUAAACUUGAAAGAGGAUUAUGAUAAUGAAAUCAUUUUUCAUCUUUUUUAGAUGUAAUUUUCCCAGAAUUCCUAUUGACUGCCUUUGAAAUAACUUAGUCCAUGAUGUUGACAAAGCUUUUAAAUUUGAAGAAACAUCCUUACUUGUACAUAUUAACAAAAUAGUCGCUCACUGAAAUUAUGCUUUGUAAAAUAUAUAUUUUUAAAUUUCUGGACUCGGUCGUGUAUAUUCAGGAAAUGUAAUUAUCUGUUAAGACCCACAAUCAUUUGUGAGAUGUUUACAUUGUUCUAUGAUAGAUAUAGAUGACAUUAAUUUCAAUAGAUGUUCAUUCAUGCAUUCAUUUUAUUUUUUGUUCAGAAAAUGUUUAAUCUAUCACUGUGUACUGGACACUAAGAAAAUGAUAGUGAACAAAAUAGACAAAGUCUUUGCCCCCAUGGAGAUUAAAUUCCAUUGCAUGCUGGUCUCUGGUCAUAGGAGCUGAAUGUCUAGUUAGAAAGGAGGCAGAUAUGACCAGAAUUAUUUCAGAACAAUAUAGUACCUCCUACAACUUUCACCUGGAAAAUUAAAUAUAAGUAAAACAAGGUAUUUAACAUUUUACUAGGUGGAAUCAAUGAAUGAACCAAUGACUGCCAUAGAACCAUUCCAUUUCAAAGCCAGAAGGCAUCUUUGAGAUUAUUUCAUUUUUUUUCAAUUAUUUGCUUUAAUCCUUGUUUUUUUGUUAGAAUGAAAAAAUGAAGGUCCAGAAAGUCACAAAGCAGGUUUGAGGCAUUGCUGGGAGAAGCCUCCAGCCCCCUAUUGGGGUAAGAGUCAGCUGUUCUCUCUAAAUUGUCUGGAGAGUUUUAUACCCAUUAUACACGCUUACAAAGCAUGCACAAACCAUAGCUGAUCAUUCUGCAGUUAUUCAUAUCAUAGGAAAAUGAUUAGCUGUGGUAUACCCUUAUAUGAGGUAGUGAAAAUAUAUUUUGCCUUACAAUAUAUUGAUUAUAUAUUCACUUCAGGCACUCAUCUACCAUAUAUAACACAAAGUUCACUUGAAUUAUUUGCAUUUUGGAAAAGCAAAAAAAAAAAAAGAAAAAAAGUUGAGAGAGUCCUAGAUGAAAGUAUUCAGGUCCGUCAUGCUUCAGCUGUAUACCUGCUGAGGUUUUUCACAGGCUCAUCAUUGCCUAACACAUUGAGCUUUACCUAGGAAAUAAACUCUUUUUGACUUCUUGUUUGAAUUUCAAAUAAUAAAGGUGAGAUGUGAAAACUAAGGGAUGAAGCCCUCUGGACCCAGGAACAUCUCUGCAGUACAAAGAUUUCAUCCCCUGGACUCAUGGAUUAAGUCUGGAAGGUAGAGAGCAAAGCAUUUUCCAGGAGUUCCCUGCAAAAAUUGUCUCUGUUGAGAUAAACUGGUAGAGGGAAUAGGAUGGCAGAAGUAGUAGUAAUGAGGACAAACUUAACUCUUAAGUCAUUGAUUGUUUGGAUCAAUAAGUAUAUUGAACAAAAUAAUUAACUCCCACUUAGCAAAAUGUCAAAUGGGAAAUAUUGCAGAAACCUGAAAUAGGCUAACAACAAUUAAAGAAUGAGACAGAAAAAAAAAAAAGCAGUCCCAUAUUUCAGAGUGAUCAUGGAAGUUAGACAAUUACACGAAUAUUGCAUGAAUGGGAAAAUGAAAGAGUAAGAAAUAGGGCAGCCAUGACAGUCAUUUAUUUCUCUUCUGGACAACCAGCUUUUUAUCCUGUUGUCUUGGUCAGGUACAACAUAUGUGCCUGUGGACAGAGGAGUGUUUAAAAGGUAGCAUUGAGUUGACAUGAGAGGCAGUCUGUUCUUUCCAUUGCUUCAGCAUUGCUUUCUAAGUAAUCUACCGCAUUAAUUUUUUGAGUAGGUAAUUUCCUUUUUCCUCUCUUUAAAAAUAAUUGUUUAUGGCUGUCUUGGUGCCAAAAAUAUCACAAUCCCAUGUUCAGGAAGGAGAUUGCCAUGAACAGGGACUCUGGACUCCCAAAGAUGUUCUCCUGCCCUGUGUCUGGGCUUCCCAAUUCUUUACAACCUUGAACUUGGAGAAGGUAGGAAACAAAAGAUUUAUUAGUUUCAGCCCAUUGAAUCUCUUCACUUCCAGAACUACACUUUUAUUUAUUUUCCUUUUUUCUUAAAAAUAUUUAAAUGUCAAUCCUAGUUGUAAAUUAUUAUUUAUUUAUUUUUUUGAGACAGGGUCUUACUCUGGUUGUCCAGGUUAGAGUGCAAUAGCACAAUCUCUGCUCACUGCAGCCUCCAUCUCCCGGGCUCAGGUGAUUCUCCUACCUCAGCCUCCCAAGUAGCUGGGACUAUAGGUGUGCACCACCACACCCAGCUAAUUUUUUGUAUUUUUAGUAGAGAUGGGGUUUUGCUGUGUUGCCCAGACUGGGUCUCGAACUCCUGGACUCAAGUGAUCUGCCCACUUUGGCCUCUCAAAGUGUUGGGAUUACAGGUGUGAGCCACCAUGUCAGGCCGAAAAUUGUUUUAAAAGAUGUUUGAAUUGCUUUUUUGAAUAAAAGUGCUUCAUCUUCUUUUGAAAUUGUGGGUUCUCAAUACUAAAACGUCACUAUAUCAAGUUAUCAAUUGCUGUGUAACAAAUAACCCCAAAAAACUUAGCAGCAUCGUGCAACACACGUUCAUUAUCUCACAGUUUCUGUGGGUCAGGAAUCCAGGUAAGGCUGAGUUGAGUCCUCGGCUUCAGGGUCUUAAGGUGUGGACUAGGGCUGUGGCCACCCAAGGUUUGACUGGGAGGGGAUCUGCUUCUAAACUCACAUAGCUGAUGGCAGGAUUCAGUUUUUCACAGGUUGUGGGGAUGAAAGCUGAAGUUCUUCUCUGUUGGCCGGAGACCAUCCUCAAUUCCUUGUCAUGAGAACUCUCCAACAUGGCAGCUUGCUUUGUCAAAGCCAGAAAGAGAAAGUGUCUGCUAGCAAGACGGAAGUUAUAGCCUUUUAUAACCUAACCACAGAAGUAACACCUCUUCACCUUUGCCAGAUUCUGUUGGUUAGAAACACCCUUGUAGGGUGGGGGAAUGCCUGGGAGCAGGAUGAAGGGAUCACUAAGAUCCAUGUUGGAAUUCCACAUAGCACAGCCAUUUUCUUAAUGAGCAGUUCCAGUCUAGGUUUUUAAUUUACUCAGAGUAGAUUUAAGUUUCUGUAUUCAUAUCCCAGCUGGGCUACUUAAUAUUAUUAGCUCUGUGACCUCAGGUGUAUUAUUUAACCUCCCCUAAGCCUCACUUUCUUCAUUUGUAAACAUAAAUCUGUAAAAUGAGGACAAAAGCAAUGCUCUCUCUUAGAGUUGUUCUGAAAGUUAAUUAAAUUAAUUCUUGUGAAACAAUUAGCGUACUGCUGAGAAAAUGAAAUAUUUUCAAUUGUCUAAGUUUUUCAGAAUGCUGAAAGGCUUAUAAACUUGUUUCUAAGUAAUUUUUAAUGUAACAUUUUGGUUGAAACAUAUCUGAAAUGCAUUACCUAGUGUCUUCCUAAACAGUUUAUACUAAUUGAAUUGAGCCUUGGUAAUUUAUGAUCCUCGUGUAAAAUCUAUUGCUUUAUGCUGAUGUACAGUGAUGUACAGUGGCUUUUGAGAUGUUUGAAGUUAUUUCCCUUCUUAAAUGGCCCCAAAUUCCUCUGACUUUUGAGUCCUUGUUUUUAAUUUGUUUUUUCUCUCUUGCUCUAACACUGCUGUCAAGUACAUUUCAUUUGUAUCACUGGGCUACAUCUAGCUACCCUUCCAUCUCCCAAAAUUUUGGUUUCUAAUCUCUUGUGGACUUAAAAUGGAGAGGCAAUAUGUAUAGUGCUUAAAAGCAUAAGAUAAUCCUAGGUGUAAAUCCCAGCCCUUCCCACUUGCCACCUGUGGAUACUACUUAAGUGCUUAACUGAAAGCAUGUAAUCCCCCUGUGCCUCAGUGUAUAUCAUCUAUGAAAUAGGAUGCUGUUUUUAUUUACAGUAAGUUAGAUCUUGCUUAUAUAACGUGUAGUAUACGGUAGACGUGAUAAAGUCAGCUAUUGUUACUUAACAGUUUACAUAAAUAAGUGUGUUAGAAUUUUUGAAAUAUAAGAAGAUACAGGCUGCAAAUUUGGCCCUCUUUUUGGACCAAAGUACGUUGGCAUCUGUAAAAUUUUUGGUGAUUUCUAGGUUAUUGGUCUUUUGUUGAGAGACUACAUUGAAUAUAAUUUGUGGUAAGUCCCAUAGGAAUUCCUUUGAUGAAAGGAAAUCCAUAAUAGCCAUCUCAUAAUACUACAUAGCUUACAUAGAAUGAUUUUCUUUCUCUACAUCAGAGCAUUAUUUUUUAUCUUGGUUUUAUAGGUUUCUAUUCUGAGGAAGGUAUUUGAACUCACUUUUGAGUUGAAAACAAAAUGCAUGAUGUUCAAUUUGAUCCUUAUUAAUAACAAUUAUAAACUGUAUUGGGCAGAGUUAUCCAGAGAGAAAGAACCAAUAAAAAACAUAUAGAUAGAGCUAUAUGAGAGGGGAUUUAUUAUGGGAAUAGGCUCCUGCAAUUAUGGUGGCUAGUCCCACAAUAUGCUGUCUGCAAGCUGCAGAGCCAGGAGCACUGGUGAUGUAAUUUAGUCUAAGUCAAAGGCCUGAGAACCAGGGGAGCAGAUGGCAUAACUUUUAGUCUAAGGCUGAAUGGAGGCCUGAGAACUUAGAGGACUGCUGGUGUAAGCCCCAGAGCCUGAAGGCUCUACAGUUUGGAGUUCUAAUAUCCAAGGGCAGGAGAAGAGGUGUUCCAGCUCCAGGAGAGAAAUAAAGCAAAUUCACCUUUCAUCUGCCUUUCUGUUCUAUUUGGGUCCUCAGUGGAUUGGAGGGUACCCAUUUACAUUGGGAAAGAGUGGAUCUUCCUUACUCACUUCAUUGAUUAAAAUGCGCAUCUCUUCCAGAAACCCUCUCACAGACAGACUCAAAAAAUCUUUACUGGCUAUCUGGGUAUCUCCUAGUCCAGUUAAGUUGACACCUAAAAUUACCUAUCACAUAAACCAAAGAGUGAGUAUCAAUAGGUUGUUGGAAAGUGUUUCAUAAAAUGGAGACUGACCUCAUAUUUCCGGUUCCAUAGAUCAGAAGCAGGACAACAUGAUGUGAAUGGAGAACAUUUCCUGUAUUUUGACCACAAGAUACUAUUACUAUUUGAAUAUAUAUCAAUUAGGUUAAAUGAAAAUGUGAGUAUAGAGAGAUGUGUUUUCUCAUCAUUUUCUCAAACUGAGAUGAGUGUCACCUUUUGGCUAAGAGAUAAGCAUUGUAGAAGUGAACAUUAUAAGCAGACAGGUGUAAAGAAGUAAGAAGGGAAAAGGAAAUGAGGAAGAGUACAGAGGCCUCUAGGAUCCAUAAAGGUUAGAGUAUGUGCCUGUGAUGCAGAGGGAUAGAAGUUAGUACCUCAGAAACUCCGAGGGGGGCUUAAGAACAGGAGCAUCAGCCGUGAAGUCAGACCAGUUAGUUUCAAAUCCCAGCUUUUUCACUUAUUAAAUGCAUGGGCUUGGACAAGUAAUUGACCAUCCCUGCAUUUUAGUUUCCCCAUCUGUGAUGAAGGCCACUAUAGUAUUCACCCCACAGGGUACUGGGAGCACUGAAAUAGAAACUGGGAAAAUUACUCUUAGUUAGCAGAAUGCUGGGCAUAUUGUAAAUUAUCUGUGUAUUUUGCUGCCUUACCAUAAUCUAGAGCAGAAGUUUACAAGCUUCUCCUCUAAAGGGCCAGAUUGUAAAUAUUUUAGUCUUUGGAAGCCAAGAGGCAAAUUGCAAAUAUUAUGUAUCUCCUUACAUAAUAACAGAUAAGAUGAAUUUCUACAAAAUUUUUAUUGAUGAAAUUCAAAAUAUAAUAAUGUAAUUGAAUAAAAUUAUUGUAUUAUAGAUCCACUAAUGAGAAGAAUAGAAUUCUUUUGAAGAGGAGAUGACAUUUCCCUUAAAUGGGAUUCAAAGUUACUGUUUUCUAACACCAAUUUUUCCAAAAAUGUUCAUCUGUAAAAACCCUUCUUGGUGCACAGGUGAGCUAUAUACGAACAGGCAGUGGCAGCUCGAUUUGACCUGAGAGCUAUGAUUUGCUGUCUCCAGAACAGUGGUUCUCAAUUUUUCCUUUAUGAUCUUGGUACUGAGACAUACAUGAGUGAACAUUGAUGACAUUCACAAAUGUUAUGCACUCCCAAGGCCAUACCAAGAUUUACCCAAUCCCCAGCACAGUAGCUGCAACCACACACUUUUGUCUGACAGAAAAGAACAAGCACAUCAAGCAGAGACUUUAGUGUUAUAAUUAAUGUAGUAACAAAUGCCCAAGAUGUGCAUCACAACUGAUCAUACCUAGCCAGUGUGUUAUGACACCAGGUUCUCUGAAUAUUUCUACUAUUCAGAACAAGUCCUCCCAUUCACAACCUAAAGUGGCAAUUCAUAUCUGCAAGAAACUUUCAAAAGAAGGAGGUUGUAUUGUAGUGCAAGCAAAGGGAGAUUCUUUUUUCUCUUUCAUGUGCGGGGAAUGAUAAAAUAGAGAGCUGAGCUCUAGGGUAAGUGGCACCGUGCUUCCUCCCACCAACAAUAAUGCCCAAUUAUGUACCAAUUGAUGGCUCUUUCCUGAGUUCCAGGAGUGUGAAUCCAUCCAUCUGCUGGGAAUCUCUGCCUGGAUCACCUUCGGGUAUCUCAAACUUACACUGUAGUACUGAACUCAUCAUCAAGCCCCACCCCCAAUAGAUCUUAUAUCUGUACCUUGCUCUCCAACCCUACUCUCAUUUCCUCAUCCAGCCUCUCUCACACGACCAUGCUUACAGUGUACAGUGGCUUCCUGGUUUCAGAUAAAUCAAGGUUCGUUCCCAUGGUCUUUGGGACCUGAACCAACACUCCAGCUUCAUCUAUAUCUGUCUGUCUGUCUGUCUGUCUGUCUAUCUACCUAACAGCAUCAUAGAAUUGCCUGGUAUUCUCUGCAAACACCAUAUUGUUUCUUAGCUGCUUCUUUGUUCCUGCUGUCCCCUUUGCAGAUAAUCCUCCCAGUCCCCAAAUACAGAAUGUCUUACAUCUACCUCCCAGCCUUCCAUGAAACUUCUUUUCCCUCAUCCCAAAGGCAGAGUUUGGGUCUACUCCUCUGUAUUCCCAGUAUGUCUUAAGCAUGAGUUAUACCCACUAUAUUGAAUGUAGUAGUGCUUUGGUAUCUCUGUCUUCCCACCUGCACACUGAGAAACUUGAGAACUAAGAGUAUGUCUUCAUUUUUGUAUCCCUAGACAGGGAUUCUUAUAUAAAGAAAGCACCUAGUUAAGGUUUACUGAUUUAAUUAGCUCUACAGAACUGGCUUGCGGCCACUGUGUUUAUCUGAGCUUUAUCACCACGAGGCAGAGGGAGUGAGUAUAAGUGAGUAGCCAGGAGCCAGAUCUAAUAUUUGAAAGGCUGCUUUGGAGAUUUCAUUUCCAUUGUCAUGUACAAGUUCAUGAUUGUUUUGAAAUAAAACUUGUUAGGAUUUUAAACUUGACUUUCAUUAUCUCUGGUAUAUUCUUCUUUAAAACAUAUUUGCUCUUCCCAAAUAGAAAGAGUAAUUCAUGACUUUCCUAUCUACUUAUUUUGUCUCAGAUUUGAUUUUGAUUUUUCCCUGUCUUCACAAAACCGAAGAAAGAAUAGGGAGAAUAACUGAAGCUUUCUAAUCAUUAGACUCUAAUAAAGAAACUCGAUACACUGUAAACCCACCACUACAUUCUACCGUGACGAGCAGAACAACCUGAGAAGAAUACAGUUUUUUACUCUAAGCAGCCUUGGUUUUCCUUGUCACACCACUAGUAAACAACUCUGUUUUAAAAAUCUAUAAUUUUCUUUUUUUUCUGUUUUUCUUCAACUUUUAUUUUAAGUUCCGGGGUACCUGUGCAGGAUGUGUAGGUUUGUUAUAUAGGUAAACAUGUGCUAUGGUGAUUUGCUUAAGAUCAACCCUUAAGCUAGUUAUUCAGCCCAGCAGCCAUUAGCUAUUCUUCCUGAUGCUCUCCCUUCUCCCGUACUGCCCCUGACAGCUCCCAAUGUGUGUUGUCACACCCCCAUGUGUCCUCAUUGUUCAGCUGUCACUUGUGAGAAUAUGUGAUUAAAAAAAUCUAUAAUUUUCAUUCAAAAGACUGCCUUAAGCAUCUAUGAAAGUUUAACACAAUUUUACCUUAAGGUUCACAUCCACAGCACAUCACAGAAUCAAAAUUAAGACUGGGCUCAGAUUUGCUAAUCUGAAGAUUGUGUCUGUCUCCAGGAGGCAUAGUCUUUCCAGUGUGAGGAAGGCUACAGCUCAGUGGAACUGCCUUCCCAAGACCCAGAAUCACCAUGGGUACUUAGUUUGUACAUCUUGAUUGUAAAUGCCCAGGGCUACUCUAGAGGUAAGGAAAAGUGGAGACAAUAAAACCAGCAAACAUACAUGGAAAGACAGGAUGAAACAUUUAGAGGUUCACUAUAGCAAAAUAAAAAUGUAAACAAUUUCCUGGAGAACUUAUGUUUUUAUUCCUUAUUUCACGCCUUUGCUAACUAAUUUGCUAUUAUUUUUGACAAUCUUUCAUUAGUAAUAUGUAUAAUAAUUAGACUCCAAUAUCAUGAAGCUUGGAAGAUAAAUAUUUGAUGACAAAAACAAAUGCCCUUUGCAAAGCAUACACACAGAUUAUAUUUAAGUAAACUUCACGAUGGUUCAUAAAAUGUCUUUAGAACCUAAAACAUGAGGCAUGGGUGUGCAAUACGGUAAGAAAUUUCUUAAUGAUCAUAUAUUUUUAAUACUUUUUGUUAUAUUUGCUUCAAGAAAAAUUUACUACUUUUGUCAUGUAGUAAAUUUGUCACGAUUUUCUCUCUUCAACUUCAUAAUAAUAGUAUUUGAAAUAUACAAUACAUCUCACUGCUUUGGUUAACAAGUCCACAGUUUAGUGUCAGCAGUAGGAAUGGUUGUUUGUUUUUACACUGAUGUAGAGGGAAAUGAAUAAGUUUAAGUGAUGUUGUUUUUUUCCCAUGUGUUUGGAUAUCCUACUACUUUACAGGUAGAGUGAAUUCUAAAGGCAGGUAGAUACCUAUCAUUUGCCUAAAUAGUAACAUUGCCGGCUGGGCACAGUGACUCACACCUGUAAUCCCAGCACUUUGGGAGGCCGAGGCGGGUGGAUCAUGAGAUCAGGAGAUCGAGACCAUCCUGGCUAACACGGUGAAACCCAGUCCCUACUGAAAAUACAAAAAAUUAGCAUGGCGUGGUGGCAGGCGCUUGUUGUCCCAGCUACUCGGGAGGCUGAGACAGGGGAAUCGCUUGAACCUGGAAGGUGGAGGUCGCAGUGAGCCAAGAUCAUGCCACUGCACUCCAGCCUGGGCGACAGAGCGAGACUGUCUCAAAAAAAACAAAACAAAACAAAACAAAAAAAAACAAUGUAACACUGCCGCUGAUUUACAAACAGCCUUUAAAAUAGAAAUUUACUACAGAACCACCAGUGGGAAGAAAAGAAGGUUAUUGAAGUUUGAGUGCGGGUGAACUGCCUUCUUCUGAGAUGGGGCUCGUCAUGAUAGUAUACACAGAGCGUGGUCCACUCAUGGUGUGGUGUGUUUCUCCACUAGUGCUGGCCCAGCCAGGGCUCCACUCAGCCCUGCCUCUCUGUGCACAGAGGCCACAAUGCUGUGCAGGCAACAGCUGGGGGAUUUGCUAUGGACUACACAGUAGAGAUGGAGAUAUACAUCAAAGUCUAGAAAUGUGGACGUUUUGAUUCACUUGACUUCCCUUUCAGGGCACUCAGGGCUCAAUUUAUCAAAACAACAAACAGUAAUUGAGUCAAUAAGACGUAUGCUGUAGGGAAAUGUUCCCAGGUAUUGAUCCAAAAUAUUGGCAUGAUAUUUACAUCUGUUUGCCAAAGUCAUACAUCAUCCUAAUUCCAGGAACAGGCAGGCAGCAGGGCAUAGAGGCCCAGAGGCUGCUUGGAGAUCCCUCACUGCAUUGUCUGCUGUCUUCCCACAUGGCCUUUGGCACACGGCUGCCCCUGCCACCAGCUGCCUCCUUCCGGGGGAGUGCGAGAAGACUGCAGUUCCAGGAACUGCCCAGUAUUCUGCAUUGGAAUCCUCUAAUAAGUAAUGCCGUAUCAAUGUAGCUAAUUAUCAUUAUUUGAGCAUACAACUUGAGUGCGUCCAUCUGGAACAUUCAAAAUUGACCCUCUAUGGUAUGAUGAAUGUGUGUGUUGUGGGCAGGAAAAUCCUCCAUAGGAGAAAUUUAGCAUUACCCAGGAUGAGAUGCAGAAAUCCUUCACUAAUCCAUGCGCUACUCAUCUGAAGCUUUAUUUUCUAGACUUUCUCUUCUGAAAUGUACAUUUAGUCUCCAUGCAAAUGACUGUUAAAGCAAAUCAGCAAGAGCAAAUCAACAAUAUAAUCCUCCUGGCACCACAUGGUAAUGUAAUUUUUCAAUUCAAAAUGCACAGGCAAAAUACUAAAGUAAAUGGCUCUGUGGUAACUAUAUCAAAAUAAGAAAAAUGUUUAACUUUAAAAAUAUGCCAUAUCUAGACUGAAGGAGGUGAAGGAGAUAUGAUAAAUAAAUUCAGUAGGAUCCUGGAUGGGUUUCUGGACACGAAAAAAAACAUUAGUGAGCAGUUGGUUAAAUUUGAAUAAAGAUUUGUAGAUGUAUUAAUAAUACCAUAUCAGUGUUAUUUUCCCAGUUUUGAGAAUCUUACUAUCAUCAUAUAAUAUUUUAACAUUUAAUUAAGCAGGCUGAAGGGUAUGCGAGACCCGAUUGUGCCACCAUUGAAACUUUUUUUGUAAAUCUGGAGUUAUCUCAAAGUAGAGAUAAGAAUAUUUCAUGAAUCACAUUUUUUACUGCCUUACUUAUCUUCUGGUAGGUCAGUUUAGAGAAUUUUUACUAUAGUAUUGACUUUUGAUUAUAAUUUAAUGAUCCAUAUGGAAUCACAGACUAUUAAAGCCAGAUGGAUUUGCUCUGUUAAUUAACGGAGGGAGGAAGAAGAAAGGAAUAUUUAGCGAUUAAGUCACUAGGUGCCAGGCUGCAGCCAACUCUUUUAGUUGUGUCCUGGUAUCCACUUGCCUGUUGUUUCUUGCCAUGCAAACCCUGAUUUUCUGUAGGACCCCAAUGUGCCCAGCCUGGGUGAUGGAUCAUCCUGGUCUCUGAUUUUCCACUUGCCCUUGCAGCUGGGGAGGGCCAUGUCAGUCAGUUCUUGCCAACAAGAUAAAAUGAGAGGAUGCAAAAAGUAUUUCUAGAGAAACUUUGCUUUCCUGAUAAAAGGGACAAAUGCAUCUGCUGCCUCCCUAUCCACCCAUUUUUACCCACCUUGAAUACAGCUAUGGUGAGUGGAAUUCUGGCAGCCAACUUACGACCAUGAGGCAGAGCCCAAGAAAGCUGCAGAGAUGCCAGUGGCGAGGCAAUAAACGAACCAGUAGCUACUACCUCCAGACUUUUUCAUAUGAGAUGAAUUUAAACGCUUACUAGUUUAAGCCUAUGUUACGUCUUUUGUUACUUGAAGCCAAAAACAUUUCCCGUUGUUUAUCCAAGAAUUUUACAUGAACCAUUUCAUAUUAUUCUUAUAGGUAUAAUUAUCAUUGUCCUAUUAUAGAGAUUGGGAGGUUGAGGCUUAAGGAGAUUAAUUCACUUCCCCACCAUCAUACAGGAAUGAGUGGGUCUGGUGUUGGAAUCUAAGCAUACCUGGCUCUAAUCCCCUUCCUUUCUCGCUACACCACACAGCCUCUGUUUGAUUAUUUGUACCCAUCAUGAGGCAGGCACAAUGUUAGAUUAGGAAACUUGUGCAGAGUUACCAAGCUUGGGGUUAUAUCAAGACAAGAUUCAGUCUUAUUUUUAUAUAGCUCAGCAAGUUAAGCCUUUUAAUGGAAUUUCCACAUCUCCAAUGCACUUUGCUCAUCCCAUCCUCCUGUUAGAGUUAGAACUAGCUUUCUUCCCUGUUUUGCAGUUAAGCCUUCUCUGCGACAAAAGUUGUGUGACCAGCCUAAGGUCACAGAGUCGGUCAUUGGUGGACCUGAGAAGGGAAGUCAGCUUUUCAGUACCUUUCAAGUCCCUUCUAGUGCAUGGCAUUUGCUUCUGCCUUUUCAUCCCUGUUAGCUUUUCCCUCACCAUACAUCUUAUUAACACUUUCACUCUUCACUUCUCUGAUAAAUGUAGCCUUGCCUGCCUUGAAAUGGAAAUCAAAUGGCUCAAAACAGGGGAAGAACACAGUUCUGAAUAUUUUCAGUGGGACUCUAGUUUUCAUUGUCUUUUUAGUUAGAAAAAUAUUAUCCAGCACACCUUCAUGUGUGAUAUCACUUUAUUCAGUACAAACUUAUUAAGUCUGUGGUGCCAUAAGUAUAUGUAUAGGAAAUCUGAGAUGUAAUCAUCAGUACCUUGAAGUUUAUGUUGAAGCUUGGGAAAGGGAGAGAUAUCAGAAUGUUGUAAAUGGGAUAACCUCUGGCUGGGAAUCAGGAAAUCUGAAUUCCCGGCCAGCUCUGCUUGUAAAAACGCUGGGUGCUACUCAAUGUAGGUCAUUACUGAGGAAGAGUCUGACAUAGUACUAUUCAAAAAUGUUUGCUACCCCUUUGAACCAGACCUUCCCUGGUUCCAAAACCACAGCUAUCUGGACUAAUAGAAGGUCAAAGAUUAACAGAUUUUUUUUUUUUUUUUUUGAGACAGAGUUUCGCUCUUAUUGCUCAGGCUGGAGUGCGAUCUUGGCUCACUGAAACUUCCACCUGCUAGGUUCAAGCAAUUCUCAUGCCUCAGCCUCUCAAGUAGCUGGGAUUACAGGUGUGUGCCACCACACCUGGCUAAUUUUUGUAUUUUUUUAGUAGAGACAAGGUUUCACCAUGUUAAUCAGGCUGGUCUGGAACUCCUGACCUUAAGUGAUCCACCCGCCUGGGCCUCCCAAAGUGCUGGGAUUACAGGCAUGAGCCACCGUGCCCAGAAGGAUUAACUGAUUUUUAAUAAAGAAACUAUAAGUGAUCUAAAAACCUUAAAUAAUUGAUCAACUGUGCACCGAAACAACAGGAAUAUUAUAAGUACACAUGCUCUAAACAGCGAAACACCUAUCUUUCCAGCAACAUCCACUUCCUCUUCUGCUCCACUUAAUGGUGCAGGGUAGUUCAACCUAAGGGAGAUGUCAGGCACAGUUUACAGGUGCUCGCAUCCCUCAUGUUUCUGGAAACUGAACUGUGGAAUACUUGAUGUGACAGCAAGAAAGGUGAAGGCAGCUUAUAAGAUUUCUGAACCAUUGUCCAAAUUCAAUAGAAAUCCUCCUCCCUUGGCUAGAGAACAGACAAAACCCUCUCUUUCCAUGGUACAGAAGACAAAUAGUUAAAGUAAAAGGCUUUAUGUACUCUCAUCACUGAAAGGCAUGAUUGAAAUAGCAAGGCUUUGCAGUCAGAGGUUUUACAGUCAGACCCCCUGGUGCAGCCACAGAAGCUAUGUCAACUUGGGCUAGUUACUUAGAUCUCUAAGUCUAUUAAAAUGGAAAUAAUAAUACCUUCUUCAUGGUGUGAUUGCAAGAAUUAAAAAAAAUGGCAUAGAUUAUAUAGCUCAGUGCCUGGCCAGGCUCAAUAAAUGAUUGGAAUUAGGGAGGGAAGAGCUAAUUUUCACUAAUCUUCUGCUCACUCUCCUCAAAUAUCCUCUAUUAUAUCCCUUUUUAUUUCCACAUUGUUUGUUUCUAUCUAUAGCUUGACAUACAGUCUUUUAGCUCUUCUUAUGUUCUCUGAAGACCUUCAUACUGACUCAGAGCUAUGAAAAUUGUGAGACUUAUUUUUUGAGACAGAGUCUCGCUGUGUCACCCAGGCUGGAGUGCAGUAGUGAGAUUGUGGCUCACUUCAGCUUCAACCUCCUGGGCUCAAGCGAUCCUCCCUCCUGAGCCUCCUGAGCAGCUAGAACCACAGGUUCAUACCACACCUGGCUAAUUUUUUUAAAAGUUUUUGUAGAGGCAAGGUCUUGCUAUGUUGCCCAGGCUGGUUGUUUUAAACUCUGAGGCUCAACUGAUCCUCCUGUCUUGGCCUCCCCAAAUCCUGGGAUCACUGGCCUGAGCCAACAAGCCUGGCUGUGACCCUGCUUUCAAGGUCUACUGUGCCUGACAUAUAAAUAGAAAGGCCCAGUUAAUGUUUUUUAAGUUAAUUUACUUGCAUUACACUCAUUCAAUUCCAAGCAAUCUUACUAAGUUGGGCCUCACUUUAAAUAUUUUAUUUUAAAAACAUUUUCCUGGCCAGGUGUGGUGGCUCAUGCCUGUAAUCCCAGCACUUUGGGAGGCCGAGGCAGGAGGAUUGCUUUAGCCUAGGAGUUCAAGACCAGGCAUGGCAACAUAGCAAAACCCCAUCUCUACUAAUUUUUGUUUUUAAAUAUCUAGGCAUGGUGGUGUGUGCAUAUGGUCCCAGCUACUUGAGGGAGGCUGAGAUGGGAGGAUCACUUGAGCCCAGAAGUUUGAGGCUACAGUGAUUUGUGACUGUGCCACUGUACUCCAGCCUGGGUGACAGACUUUGUUUCAAAAAAAUAUUUUUUCCAAAACUUAUUGAAUUUUUUAAUAAUGAAAGAAAUUAUCAGUGGCCUAGAGUGCAAUCUACAGAAUUCCAUACUGGAUUGCUGCUGUUUAUAAUAUCGUAGAGAGAGGGCAUAUAAAUGAAGUGUGUGGUUGAUAUGGUUCUUUGUAAACUACUCUACUUGGAACAGGGGGAUGAGUGAAAGGAGAAUAUAUUCACUGGAUGCCCCGGUCAACUUAAGCAAAUGAAUAGAAGAAAGAUCUGGAGAGCAUAAAUGUUCACUGUGGUUCCAUGUUUCUAGAUUCCCUUUCCUUCUUUUGCACAUGGAUCCUGUUUGCAUAUAUUUUAUUACAUUUUUUAUUACUGCUGUUGCAAUUACCACAAAUUUAAUGACAAAAAAAAACCCAGAAGCCUCUUUUUUUUACAGAUCUGGAGGUCAGAAGUCUAAAUCAAGGUGUCGGCAGGACUGUUCUCCUGAGGCUUUGAGAGCAGAAUCUGUUUCUUUGAUUUUUUUUUUUUUUUCAGCUUCCAGAGGCUACCUGUAUUCCUUUCGUAAGAUCCUUUUUUCACGUUGUCAUUCGAACUUCUACUACUGACUGACCCUCUUCCUCCCCUCUAACAAAGACUUUUGUGAUUACAUUGGGUCUACCGGGAUAAUCCAAGAUAACUUUCUCCUCUCAAUACACUUUUUUUUUUUUUAUUAUACUUUAAGUUUUAGGGUGCAUGUGCACAACAUGCAGGUUUGUUACAUAUGUAUACAUGUGCCAUGUUGGUGUGCUGCACCCAUUAACUCGUCAUUUAACAUUAGGUAUAUCUCCUAAUGCUAUCCCUCCCCCCUCGCCCCACCCCACAACAGGCCCCGGUGUGUGAUCUUCCCCUUCCUAUGUCCUUUUGUUCUCAUUGUUCAAUUCCCACCUAUGAGUGAGAAAAUGUGGCACAUAUACACCGUGGAAUACUGUGCAGCCAUAAAAAAUGAUGAGUUCAUGUCCUUUGUAGGGACAUGGAUGAAGCUGGAAACCAUCAUUCUCAAUACUCUUAACUUGAGCUACACAUUCCAUUUUACCAGGGAAAGAAGCAUAUUCCCAAGUUUCAGGAAUUCAGACAUAGACAUCUUUGGUUGGGGGGCAGGAGGGCUACCAUACAUGUUGAUGUAGAUGUGGUUUUAUAUUUUAGAUUGUACUGCCUCCCUAUGAGUUUCUGUUUUCCUGGCUGUGGCCUUGGUCGUCAGAAUCUGUUCCCACCUUUGAGAAUCCCACCUUUGAGCUUGGCAUAUUCCCACCAUAAUAUGGACUCCAGAUUUCUGUCCUGUCUUGAUAAAUUGGCCAGUCCAUUGUUUUGCUAAGAGUAUGCCACUUUAAUGAAACCAUAUUAACCUGAUUGAAGAAGAAUCUUGAUAUAAGCUUAAAAUUAAAACAAUAAUAAUAGUUUAAUAAUGGCACAAACUAAUUUCAAAGUAGUUAGAGCGACAGUUUUUCCUUGCCUUUUCUGAUUCUCAAUCUUGAAUUUGAAGGUAAAAGUGGGUGCAUCUUUGGUUGUUGUCCGUGGUCCUGAACUACCCCAGAUACUAAGGUUGUUUCUCUUGACCUCUGAGACACAAGGAACUGCUGUUCAGUUUCUCCGUCUUGUUUAGAAAUUCCAAAGUAGGUGAGAAAAGUGGAUAAGUCUGUGAACAGAGCUUAGUGCCUGAGCAUUAAAUGGAUACAGACUGUUGGAAAGGCAUAGCCCUUGACAGAUCACCAGGUAGAAAACAAAACAUUUCUGACAUGAUUUUUAAAUAAUUGAAACUGUAAAAAUAUUUCACAGUUUACCAUGUUGUAAACAUCAAAUAACUAAGCAGCAUAGGAAAUGUGUGCAUCGAACAAUGCAAAGGAUGUGCAACCAAAACACAAGCAUUGAGCAAGAAAGAUAGGGAAGAUGUAGUAAUAAAAGGAUCAUUAUUAGUUGAAUAGCAGAAAAACAUUUAGAGUUGGGUUUUUUGUUAUUUGCUGGAAAAUACUACCUUAUGUAAUUUAUUAUUGUAUUUUUAUGUCAUACAUUUUUGACAGUUCUGUCAUGUUUUUGGAAGUUAGUGUCACUGUCUACUCCUACCCCACCAUACACACACACACUCACACACACACACACACACACAAAUACCAUCACCACACAUCAUGGGAAGCUGGUGGGGAAUGUGCCAUUUCAUUAAUUUCUCCCCAAGCUUCAUCCCACCCCAUGAAACACAGACCAUACUUUUGAUACCUGCCCUUAUCUUUAGUAUUUAUUAUGCAUUAGCUCUUCAUUUUCUAAGGGAUGGAAUGGAAUGGGAAUUAGGAAUGGAUUUGGGGUAUCAGAUGUCAGUGAUUUACAUAAUCAUGUAGGAAAAACUACAGAUUUCACCAAAACCAGUGAUUACACAUUUUUGUUUCAGCUAAUUCAGAAUUUCAGUGAGGCAUGAGAAUGGAAUAUGGGCCAGGAAUGUCUGCUGCACAUAUUUUUGAUAAUUAAAAACAAGGAUAGCAGUCUUUUUACAUGUUGAUAAGGUUAAUCAAGGCAACCUCAUCGCAUCUGUCAAAAAAUCCUGAUUAUUCUCCUGUACCCCAUUCAUUGUGAAUCUUUGCUUUGAACACAGGGGAGAUUCUGGACCUACAGGUACAACUAUAAUCUGAUUAUGUGUUUUUCUGCUUGAAAAGACUAGGUUUUUAACAGUAAGGCUUAAGACAAAUUUCAGUUUUUAUUAAUUCUCAAGAUUAAGAACAGAUAGUGGCAACAUGUCAUGAGUUUCAUUAAUGCAAAAUGGGAACCAAAGUUUUGUUCUUAUUUUUAAAAAUAAUAGUGAUAAUAAUAAUAUAACUAGGCAGUAAAUAAAUAAAAAAUCUGAAUCCAGAGCCCUUUGUUAAGUAAAACAUUACAGAAAGAAAUCAGGGUAGGUGCCCGCCAACAUUCGGAUUAAUAAAUUGUGAGUGUACCACUCUUGCAUACGGAAUUAGCAAGAAUUAGCAAUCAUAUAGAUGAGUAUAGUAAGUUUUAACCUAUUUGCUGUUACCCUCCCAAAUCCUGUUUUGCUCGGGGCACACCUCCAUUUUGUAACUAGUUAAUAAAGAAUACUAUAAUUUAAAGUCCAUGUUUCUAUGGUAACAACCAAUUAUAAGUGCAAUCUGAAGAGAUGGAAGGAAGCUGCCAAAACUCUCAAGGAAAAAAAACAUGAUCUGGGUUGGCAACCCACAAGAAAUGUUGCUUGCUGAGGGCUUUUGCCAGCUUCCCCUAGCACUGGCCUGCAAGUUUAUAUCUGAACAAACAUCUUGCACCCAUUUUCUAAGCACUGCAUCUGUAAUACAUUCUAAAAGGAUAAUUGUGUCUGGGCCUCAACAUAUGUGAUGGUGAGGCAGGAAAAAAUUCUCACUUUUUUUGGUAUAAUUUCUCGCAUAUGUUUCUUAUAACUUCAUGGCACCAACAUCAACACUAGAGAGAGAAAAGAACCUUAAGUGGGCUAGCUUUUUUCAGAAGCAUAUUCAUAAGUUUUACCUUAAAUAUUCUUAUGUUCAUUGUUUAUACAUAAUAAUGGAUAAUGGUAACAUUUAUGGAGAUAAUAAUUAUAGAACUUAAAUAAAAUGUUAGCCAUCAAUUGAGAGUUUUAAUGUUUAACAUAUGUAUACCUGAUUACAUAUAUAUUUUAAUAUAACACUCUGAUUACAUAUAUAUUUUAAUAUCUUCUCCUUAAUCCCUCUGUAUAUUAUUGUGCUUUGUUUUCAGGAAGCUCAAUAUGCACACAUAAGGCACUUUCAAAAUAGAUGAAUUAAAUUGAAGAUAAUUCAUGUUAAAAUAUAUUUCACAUUCAUUAUUCCAUGCAUCUUAUUAACAACCUAGGGAGAGAGGAUGUUUUCAUUUCUAUUUUACAUAUAAAAAAGCUGAGAAAUGGAAAAGUUAAGGACUUACUGAAAGUCACACUUUGUUAGUGGUGGAACUAGGGGCAAACCCCCACCUUGGACCUCUAGAUCUAGGAUUGUUUUCACUCUACAAUAUGACUCCUCCACUAGCUCAAAAUUAAAUACACCUGGAUAUCAAGCUUUAUUAUAUCAAAUAAUGUAGCAUUUGAAUCUUAACUCCAAAGUGUUUAUGCUUGAAACUAAUCAAUUGAUAAUACAUGGAUAACGUAUUCCCUAUCAUCUACCUGUGUCUUUCUCUUAUUUGUAGUUAAGUGACUGGAAGGCAAAAGAGUGAAAUUGACAAUGAUGGAAAUCACAUUUAAUUAGCAUGAAAUGGUAAACAGCUGCUAUGUUCAAAUCUUCCUGUUAUGAGAUUGUCAGACUUAUAAAAUAUUAUCUGCAUGGCGCAGUUUUGAACAGUGAAAGAGAAGUUGAAUCAAAAUGUAAAAGCUCAGUGCAUAGAACUUUUGGGUCCUAGGAGACACACAAGAAUUUCCCUUUUAAGGAAAUUGGCUACGUAUGGUUUGCAAACCCCUAUUCUGGUUAAAAAAAAAAAAAAAAAAAGUAAAUUCCAGUUCCAAGGUUGAAUAACUUUUUUCGUAGAUUGGAAUGGUACUCAUUUGAGCAGAAAGCACUACUAUUACAUGUAAUCUAGGACAAUACUAAUUUAUCUUCUCUAUGGCCAUGUUGAGGAAAGUGGAAAACAAAUCACACAGUCCCACGCUCCACAUGAACGCCAGCAAUCAACUAAACAUAAUAAACCUGCAAGAGAAUAUUUUUAUAUUAUCAAAUUUGUUUAUUUCCCAAAAUAUGUAUUUUGGAAAAAGGUAUGUAUUUUGGUUACCUAUAUUCAAAAUUAGUCAGAAUUCAUAAGAGCUAUCAACAAAUAACUUAAGCACAUUUCCUCUAUUUUAUACCUCAUUAAUGGGAAGACAUCAUGGUAUAAAGUAAAUUUGUGGGUAUCUAAGAUGCUCAGAAAAUGUAUACUUUCUCUAUAAUAAGGUAUCAUCAAAGGCUGUUUCUAGUUAAAGUCCUGUUGCAUUUUGAACUCCCCCUUUCAAAUAUUUUUCACUUUCUUUAAAUCCCCAACUUUGUUCCUAUCUAAAGAUAUGACUCCAUCUCUUAUUUUACUGAGAGAAUGGACUUCAUCCUUUCUAUCUCAAAUUUCCUGCUUCUCAGCAUCUCUGGCUUGGGGCCUUCGUUCUCUUCAUUUGUGGUACCAUAGUUCUCAACUCUGGGUGCACAAUUAAAUAAAAACCUGGAGAGCUUUGAAAACAAAUACUGUUGCCUAGGCACCCUCUAGACUGAUUAGUUAAGAAUAUGGUUUGAGAACCACUGACCUGAUCUUUUCCCCUAAAAGAAAUGUCCCUUAUACCUGUCAAAUCCAGUUAUUCACCUGUGGUCAAAGUCCUAAGUGAGAAGGCAUUGAUUCACCACUUUUUCUCAUCUCCAUCAUUUUUCUUUUCCACUUUUUCUUAUGCUACCAAGCAGCUCAUUUCAUCACAUCCUCAAAAAUUAGUCCAAGAAAGAUCUUUAAAGGGAGAGAGAAUCCCCCUUCAUAGAACACAGGUAGUUGCCAAUGCUCUCGCAAGCUUUCUUAUCCAGUUGUAAUGGCUUAACAAAGCCAUACUUCCAGAAGCCAAAUAAAACCAAAGAUGCAUUAGCUGGAAAUAAAAUAUGAUCAUGAAAUUGAUCAUGAAAGGAUAAUCUUGCUAGGGAUAAUGUGUUUAAUAGCAGAGCACUUUCUCUCAAGAUAAAAAACAUGUAGUUUCUUACUACAUUUAUGUGAUAGGAGAUUCACUGUAAGAAAUUAUCUUUAGUCAACUUUGUUGCUUUUCUCUUAGCAAGUGAAUAAAAAACUAAUUUACUGAUAAUUUUCAUUACAGUAGAUGACAUGUAUGCUUAGGAUGGGUAUUUCAUCUUGAGCAGAGUAGACAAGCCAUGCCAUUAAACAUGUAAAAGAGUGGCUUUAAAAAAAGUGGAUCUCAUGGAGGUGGAGAGUUUCAGAAUGGUGGUUGCCAAAGGCUGGGAAGGGAGAUGAGGAAGGAGGGAUGAAGAUAAGUUAGUUAAGGAGCACAAAAAUAGUUAGAUAGAAGGAAAAAGUUCUAGUACUUAAUAGUACGGUAGAAAAUUUAUAGUUAAAUAUAAUUUAUUAUAUAUUUCAAGGUAGCUAGAACAAGAAUUGUAAUGUUCCCAAGAUAAAGAAAAUGUUUGAAGUAAUAACUAUUCCAGCUACCCUAAUUUGAUCAUUACAUAUUGUAUACAUGUAUUGAAAUAUCACAUGUACCCCAAAAUAUGUACAACUGGUGUAUAUAAAUAAAAAUUUUUUAAAAGCUAUAAAAAAAAGAAAUGGAAAAGAGUGGCUUAGCAGCAGUUAUUAUCUUGCCUCAAAGAGUGCCUUUUCACAGUUGUGGUUCAGUUCGCAGUCGUUGGUUUCCAUGCCGUUCUGAGUUCUAAGGAAAAUCAGCCGUGGCCCAUUAAAAAACCCUUCAUAUCACUUUGAUAAAAUUUCAUAUGGAUUAAAAUAAUUUUGAGCAUAUUUUUGGGCAGUUUAAAGUCUUUUAGAUACAGUGAGCAAAUUAAUGGCAAUGUAGUAAGUUUUUGAUUUAUAGCUUUGGCCUAAAAGUCAUCAUGGAAAAUCUAUUUAUUCUGUGGCAGAACUCAAUGAGCAUUUUAUUUCAAAAAGCAAUUUCAUUUUGAAGAUAGAACCACUUACUCUUGGAAUACUUGUUUUUCAGCAAAGAUUUCUGAAAUUUCCAUUUGUCACUCUGCUCUCUCCAAACCUAAUCACCUUUACUUCAUUCCAGAUGUCCGCCUUGUGUUGUCAAAAAUGGAUUUGAAAACUAAUUGCCACAUCAUGUGGGUAUUGAAUAUGUUAAGUGAUUUCUCUUUGGCCAGUCCUCCUUUGAAACAUGAAGGGGCAAAGGAAGUCUGAGUCUACAAAGGGAGCUGAAGGGGAAGGGCAGCAACUGGAUCACAGUUUGCACGGCUGUGUCUGUAUAUUUUUUUCAGUAAGAAAAGAGCAAGAUUAGUGGUAAAUAUCCAGUAUAUAAUCACUCAUUUGAAGUAAAAGGCUAAAAGUUGCCUAUGGCAGCUUGUUUACAUUUACUGAACUGAAGGAAACCAUAUUUGUGUUACUGGAAGGAACCUCAGGUAGCAUCCAGAAAAAAGAAAAGCAAACUAAAAAACCCCACUAUACAUAUAUAUUUUUUUACUUUGCAAGCUGAUCAAACUCCACCAAAUCAGAAUAUGUCAUAAUUUGAAUUGGGAUUGCCCAAAGAUUACUGACUGUGUUUUGGGAGGUGGGAAAAAACAGAAAACAGUUUGUUAGGUAAAUUUGACCCAUAAACCAAUUUCAAGGCUAUUAAGAAUUAGGAAUGGAUUUUAGUGGCUUGACACAGCCAUAUUGUUUAGUCAACAGGCACUUCUAAGAUACGAGCUCAGGGAAUCCUGUGUGCUUAUCAAAGCAAGUGGAGUAAAGGUUCUGGGAACCUCUGGGAAUGGUUGGAAUUCUCUACAGAAAAUUAAGAUGAUGUUUAAAUUCAGCCUUUUCAAAAACUUUACCCUUUACUUAACCUAAAUUAAUGCAGUUUUACUAUUCUGAAGAAUUAAGUAUAGAAAUGUGUGACCUGAGAAUUAGCAUGCAAAUGAACAAACCAGAGCAGGCAUUUAGUCAGAUAUUUGGCCACCACCAAAAGCUGGGUUUGCCUUUGCCAUGCAACACCACACAGCCAGGAAAAUUCUGUUCUUUCUGGUGCAGAAGGCUGUAAAGAGGAGGAGAACUCUGAUUCCAUUUAUCUUGAGAUGCUGAUUGUAAAGUUUGUGAUCUCAUUAUCACUGCCUUAAACUUCUUGGCCAGGCACUAUUUCUAAGAUAUGCUGUGGGUGCAGUUGUGACAGUGAUUCCCAAGGCCCUCUGCUAUCAUCUCUCUCCCAGGUACCACCAUGGUCCAGUUUGAGGAAGAAGACGGAGGACAUGAGAAAGGAUUUGUCCAAUAGAAACUGGAACUUAAGAGUUUACCUGUCAUGCUUGAAUAUAUUAAGAGAUAUUCUACUGCUCUAAAGGAGACUGAAUUUGUGAUAAAUAGAAAAAUAAUCGGAAAAUUGAAGCAAGUGAUAACGAGAGAGAAAUUUUUUAAACGUUCAAAAAGUAAAAAGCAGUCAUGGUACACCACAGUUUUAUUUGUGAAUAAGACUUGCAUGCCAUUGGCUGUUAGUCUAACCAUCCCCACCCCAAGAAAAAAAAAGAUCUAAGUACAUUGGGAGGAUGGGGAAAGGAGAAAUUUGUGUGUGUGUGUGUUUGUGUGUGUGUGUUGAGGGGUGUGUAGUAUAAGAGUAAAACAGUAUAUUCAGUGGUAAGAAGCCAGAGUCAGUGCCUGAUAUUGAGAAACAGAGAAGUACUUUCUGAGCAUGUUCUUUAGAGGUGAAUCAGGAGAUUUCUUUAGAAGAGUUUCAAGUGGCUGCCUCUGGGGAGAAAAGGGAGCAUUCAAGCUUUUGAAGUAUUUGCACCAUACUUUGAUUUUUUUAAUAAAAAAUACUUUAAAUGAGAAACCAAGAAGUGGAAGCAAUAUUGCAUAGCUAGACCUCUCUUUACAAGUAUUGCUAUAAAGGAGAGUGUAAAACUGGGGCAGAUGUUGAAGAGAGCUGAGGAGUUGAGAGAAGACCUUUUCAACUUUUCUGAAAAAAAUAUACUUUAAGUUCUGGGAUACAUGUGCAGAACGUGCAGGUUUUUUACAUAGAUAUACAUGUGCCAUGGUGGUUUGCUGCACCUAUCAACCCGUCAUCUACAUUAGGUAUUUCUCGUAAUGCUAUUCCUCCCCUUGCCACCCACCCACUGACAGGCCCUUGGUGUAUGAUGUUCCUCUCCCUGUGCCCGUAUGUUCUCUUUUUUAAACUCCCACUUAUUAGUGAAAACAUGCGGUGUUUGGUUUUCUGCUCCUGUGUUAGUUUGCUGAGAAUGAGGGUUUCCAGCUUCAUCCAUGUCCCUGCAAAGGACAUGAACUUAUUUUUUUAUGGCUGCAUAGUAUUCCAUGGUGUAUAUGUGCCACAUUUUCUUUAUCCACUCUAACAUUGAUAGGCAUUUGGUUUUUUCCAAGUCUUUGCUAUUGUGAAUAGUGCUGCAAUAAACAUAUGUGUGCGUGUGUCUUUAGAGUAGAAUGAUUUAUAAUCCUUUGGGUCUAUACCCAGUAAUGAGAUUGCUGGGCCAAAUGGUAUUUCUAGUUCCAGAUCCUUGAGGAAUUGCCACACUGUCUUCCACAAUGGUUGAAUUAAUUUACACUCCCACCAACAGUGUAAAAGCGUUCCUAUUUCUCCACAUCCUCUCCAGCAUCUCUUGUUUCUUGACUUUUUAACAGUUGCCAUUCUAACUGGCGUGAGAUGGUAUCUCAUUGUGGUUUUGAUUUGCACUUCUCUAAUGACCAGUGAUGAUGAACGUUUUUUCAUAUGUUUGUUUUCUUAAGAGCAUAGAGACGGUGUUUCUUGGUGACAGGAAGGAAGAGUGGAAGUGGAGCUAUUGAUAAUGCAGGAGUGGCAGAGAAAGAUCCAAGGAGCAACCUUUUUGAGACAGUAAGGAGGGAUGAAAUCCACAGCCCAAGUGAAGGCAUUUUCUCGUGAAAAGUUGAGGAAUAUUUUCUCCAUUUUAAUAGCAGAGGUUGGGAUUGUGGGAGUGGCCAAAGGGUGGGAGAUGUUUGAGGAGAAAGGGCACAAAUAGUAGAAAAGUAAAUCUAGGAAAUGAAUUUUCCUAAAUUUAUUUAGUAGAAUGGCCAGCCAUUUGAGACUUUGACAGUUGCAAUAAUAAAUAUAAAGUGACACCAAACAGCUGUGUGAUUUUCUCCAGCAACACCAACUGGCCAAUGUGCAAGCAGAGAGCAGGUAGGAAGUUGGAGCUAUGAAAUUUGGGGGUUUGACAGGUGAACCCACAGCAGAAGAGAGUAGCAAGGAAGUUGAAGAUUUUUGCAUGAGAACGACUGUGAUGGUGGACAUGGAAGGUAGGUUGGAAAAAGAGGAGCUGAACACAGGUGGUGGAGAAACAGUGAGAAAGUGGCAGGGUGAAGACCUGACAAUAUCAGUAGCAAUGAAGAAUGGGAACCAUGGCACUGUCAUCAUUUCCGGCAAGUGCACUGGGACAGCUAGGAGGGGAGGUAGGGACCUGCAUGGUGCAGUUCCUGGAAAUGAGAAGGUCCUGGGUGUGACACUGAGAGGAGAUGCCUAAGGCAGAGUGGAAGAAAGGGCUGUCGAAGGUGACAUCAAGGUCAGGACACUGGAUAUUGACGUGUUGGAGAAUGAUCAUUGUAAGCCACCCAUGAAUGAGAUAACCAACAUGACAGCAAUGAGGAGGAGAGAGGGUGAUAUAAAUGGUGCAUCAGAGCCUCAAAGGAGUAAGACACUGCAAAAACAAGGAGAAUAGGAGGUCAGAAGGAGUAGCAAGAAAACCAAGGAGGGUACCUAUCAAACCCCAAGCCCUGAGGUUCAGGGGAUACCGAAGAAAAUACAUUGCUCCUGGAGAGGGCUGUAGAGGAAUGAGUGUGCUCAGAGGACAGGUCUCAGUUAAGGCAUAGAGGUGAAGGGAGCAUUCAGAGAAAUGUUAGGGAAGUAAGGAUGGGUGCUGGAUUAUUGAUAUUGAGAGCACCAGAAAGCAUAAUGGGAAGGCUUAGAGAGGAAAAGAAUGGAGUUUUGGGUCAGGAUGUAGACGUAUGGGAAUGGGAAUGAGGGCUAUCACAGAUCUCACAGGAAACUUGAACUUUUGGCAAUGGCCCAGGUAAACUUGGAUGUAGGGCAUGAUGAAUGACUUCUGAGAGUUUCUUAUCAGCAGGUGAGCACUCAGGUCUAGCAUGGUGGCCCCAAUGAAUGAGCUUGGUGAUGUGGCAGUGACUGUUUCCCUGGCAUCCUACAUUGCAGUAGUUCCGGGUGGCCACAUUCUCUGUCUCUCACAGUAGUUAUUAGCGUUGCUUUGGUCAAGAUUACCUUAAAGAGUAUAGCAGUGUAGUGCUUCGUGAACAUGAGAGGAAGGGCUAUCACGACUCUUGUUGGUUACCUGGGGCAAGUCAGGCAACUCUGUGAGUAUCAGAUUCCCCAUUAGAGAAAAAAAAUUGGCCUUGUAGGUCCUCUUCAGGUUUGAAUUUUUGUUAUUGUGACAUUAAAUAUAUGCUGUUAGGUUUGUAGCAUUUUUAAGUGAAGGAUUUGGGCCCAUAUUACAUGGAGAUGUUUAAGGAGAUUGGAUUUAUAAAGAAGCACAUUUGCCGGACUUCCAUUUUUGACAGAUUUAUUAUGUUGAAAUUAAUAAUUUAGAGAAUAUGUAAGAAUAUUGAUAUGGUUUGGAUAUUUGUCCUGCCCAAAUCUCACAUUGAAAUGUAAUCCCCAGUGUUGGAGAUGGGGCCUGGUGGGAGGUGGGUCGGGGGGCAGAUCCCUCAUGGCUUGAUGCUGUCACUUCAUGAGACAGGGGUUGAGUUCUCAAGAGAUCCCAUUGCUUAAAAGUGUGUGGCACCUCCCCACCCCCCUGCUCCUGCUCUCACCAUGUAACAUGCCGGAUCCUGCUUCACCUUCUGCUGUGUGUAAAAGCUCCCUGAGGCCUCCUAGAAGCCGAGCAGAUGCUGACACCAUGCUUGUACAGCCUGCAGAACCAUAAGCCGAUUAAACCUCUUCUUUAUAAAUGACCCAGUCUCAGAUAUUUCUUUAUAGCAGUGCAAUAACAACCUAGCACACACACACACACAAAAUUAGCUUCUGUUUCACUAGCACAAGAUUCUAUAUGUGUGUGUAUGUGUUUAUAUGUCACUGCCAUCAUUUUUAAAGAUAUUCCUUUUCUUUUGUGUCUCCAUUCAUCUGAGGAUUGGGUGUAGCUAUUUUCAUGAAUCAGGUCUAUACUGCAGCCUAGGGCAUGAUGAGCCAAACUUCUGUGUAACUAGCACAAGACUCUGUGCAGUUAUCAGAAUUUCAGAAAAACAGCUUAUGAUUACAAGGUUAAAAAGAAUCACUGCUUGGCCUUCAUAACUUCCCAUUGCCACAUGUGUAGAUGUUGCAUGCUCUGCAUUGCUCUGACCAAACGGCUGUCGAGGCAACACAGGAAGCGAGUGAAGCUGGGAAUGAUCUCCUGCAGCAGGUCUUCAGAAGACCUAUUUUCUCUUGUAGGUUUCAGGGGCAGUUGGUUAAUGUGACCAUGAUACAAAUUCACAUGUGCACACCUACACACAGACACACACACCCCACUGUGGACAUCUCACAAUAUAGGACAGGCUUUCAGCAACAACUGGGUCACCUUUGCAUCCGGUUGGUGGUUAUAAACUCAGACAAGAUACUUUGAAGUGUUUUAUACACAGAAGAAGAAAGCAAUAGUAGGAGAAUGGUGCCUUCGACCUUUCUGUGCUUUCAAGCAUGUAAGCCAAUCACCUCGUUCCUCCAUCCCCAAUUAAAGGAAAAAAAUUAGCCCCAUACAUGGAUGCUUGAAUUCUCCUAAUAUUAAAAGUCACAUGUGUGAUGUAAAUAAGAUGAAAAGCAAUGUGGAUUACCCCAUUAGAAACGGAGAUGAACUAGCAGCUGGUUGCAUGAACGUAUCAAGGAGCCUACUGUCCCAGUGAUAAUUCUUGGAUAAAGCAGAGUUAGGACAUUUUCCAUCAGAUCCUUUUAAGCCCCCUCGCAGUUCAGUUGCAUCUGGCAUGCAUUGUGCCUGUUGUCUGCUCUAACUUUGCAACAGAGUGAAAUCCCCGGCUUUGACUGCAGCAGCAUGUGGCUCUGAGUGGCAUCUGUAAAGCAAUGGCACUUCUUAAUUUUCAUAACAAACAGAAAAUACUUUAUGAAAACAGUAUUCAAAUUGGAAUGGCUCCAUUUAUCUGACUAAUUGGGCUAGACUGUCAUCAUAAAGUGAGUCCUUGAGCAGAAAAAAGCAAUACACAAAAAUGGCUUCUGCUGGUGACCUAAUUUUCUAAAUCAUUUCUUCUGCUAGUGCAAGUGCUACUAAAUAUAUUGGGUCGUCACAAGUUCCACACUCCAGGAUAGGCGUUUCUAGUGGCAGGUGAAUUCUCAAUAAUCAUUGUACGUUUUGAAAUUAAAAUUAGAUGACAUUAGAGAGCAUUGGUGAGGGUGGGGUGUUUCCUCACUCCCUCCCUCCCUCCCUCCCUCCCUCCCUUCCUUCUUUCAUUCCUCCACAGAACAAAAUAAAAGUGAAAUAUUAUAGAACUUGCCAUGAUUGGGAAACCAGUAGGUAGAACUGGAAUUCAAUCUAGGUCUACCACUGCCUGGAUUUCACUUAAGAAAUUUUAGAGUAUCAUUGUUCAUUAUAUUUUUUGAUGUUUUCUAUUUCUUUCAUUGCCUGUUUCCUGGCAGAAAUGCCCUGAGAGUAUUCGAAACCCUGUCAGUCCUUGAUAUACUUGCAGUCCCAACUGCCUGUUCUUUUCUGGGAGGCUCAUUCAAUGUAGAAUAAAGUCAACUGGCAGAAAUGUAAUAGUACACCAGGGAGGGAUUGUGGUUUAACAUGAGUUUGAUAUGGUUAGUAAAAAGUGAAUUAGAAUAGUUUGUAGAUACUUUUAAACCUGUGCUCAAAGGUAUUAUUUGAUUAAAUUUAAUAAAAAAAUUAAUUACUUAGUAUAUAUAAUACAUAAGGAACUUACAGGUACGGGUGGAUGCAAAGAUGGGUAUAAUGAGUGAACGAUGCCUCUUCCUUCCAAAGUUAUGUCCAUAGUCUCAUCACCAGAACGCAUGACUAUGACCUGAUUUGCAAAAAGGUUAUUUACAGAUGAAAUUAAAUAAAGGAUCUCAAAAUGAGAUCAUCUUAGAUUAUCCAAGUGGGCCCUAAAUCCAGUGAUGUGUGUCCUUAUGAGACCCACACAGAGGAGAAACACAUGGAAGAGAAGUCCAUGUGAAGACAGGCAGAGAUCAGAGUGAUGCAGCCACAAAUCAAGGAACAGCCUGGGGCCACCAGCAGCUGGAAGAGGCCAGGAUGGAUUCUUCCCUAGAGCCUUCUCAGGGAGUGCCGCCCCAUCUUGACUCCAGACUUCCGGCCCCCAGAAACUGUGAGAGAGUACAUUUCUGUUGUUUUUAAGGCACCAAGCUCGAUAUAAUUUGUUAUGGCAGCCCUAGAAAAUUAACAAAGUGAGUAAAAAUCAGUCGGCAUUGAAGAGCUUGUAAUAUAUAAUAUGUAACAAACUGCAUGUGCUGAAGUGAAAGUAUUAAAAAUAUAGACACGAAGGGGAAUUAAUUUCAAACAGAGCUGGCUGGAAAGGUGUUUUAAGGAGAUAUGCCUUGAUCAGGGCUUUAAAGAAGAUGAACGCAAGCCGUGCAGAGAUGGGCCAGGAGGAGAUUUCAGGGAGGUCAGCAGAGCCACGACAGAGGAUUCAGGGAUACUAUAGGAGUGAAUCUAGUCCUGAGAAAGGAGAAGGUAUGAUCAAAACAAAGUCUAAUAUCACAAGAAGUUUGACUGGUCAGAAAUGCAGAGAGCCUGAAUUCAGUCAAAUAGAGAGGUACUCUGUUGUUAGCUUUAAAUUAUGGAGAAACUUACUUUUUCCAUCUUCCUCAAUCUAAAAUUACAUUUAAGAGAUAGAUUCCUGAAGAAUUACUGCAAGGAAAGAAAUUAAAUUUAGAGAGGAAAGAAAUAAUUUCAGGAAUGUUCUGAAAACUCUAUAAUGCCUUGGACAUGCCCUGGUUUGUAGUAUUUAACAUGCAGUCAUUCCUAUUUGUGUGACUGUCUUCAUUCCUAGUGGCCUACCUGGGCAGGAAAUGCAUCCUGUCUUAAUUUCCUAGGGCUGCCACAACAUAUUACCAGCAACUGGGUGACUUAUCUUGAUAGAAAUGUAUUUCUCACAGUUCUGGAGGCUGGAGGUCUGAACUAAAAAUGUCAACAGGGCUGUGCUCCCUUUGAAUGCUCUAGAGGAGAUCUCUGCUGCUUCUUGGCUUCUGGUGGCUCCUGGCAAUUCAUGGCGUUCCUUGACUUGCAGACCAUUUACUCCAAUCUCUGUCUCUGUCUGCACGUGGCCUUCUUCCCGGUGUGUCUCUGUGUCCUCUCCUCUUCUUCUUAGAACACCUGUUACUGGAUGGAGGGCCCAACGCAAUGGAGUAUGUCCUCAUCUCAAGCUAACUAAUUAUAUCUGCAAAGACUCUGUUUCCGAAGAAGGUCACAUCCUGAGGCUCUGGGUGGACAUGAAUUUUGGGGGAGCACUAUUCAACCCACCACUUAGCCAGUUUAUGUUUUAACCCAUAGAGCCUAGCCUGGAAUUUGACAUAAAAUUGUAACCUCUCAAUUUUUGCUGAAUACAGAAGCAGAUCUGCAAUGCCCAUGAAUGAUGUGGCACUGCUAAAAAAUAAAACAUGGGAGAGAAAACAACAGAAGAAAA